AGAAAGUUGAGAAGAACAUAGGAAGGAAGGAAGGAAAGAAGAGGAGAGAAGGGUAAAAGAAAAAGAGAAUGGGGAACUGCCUCAACCUUCGACGAGCAAAGAGGUCCGACGGUGGAGAGAUGGACGACAUGGCGUUCGACAGUCCCUUUUGCUGCCAGGAGGGGAAGAAUCGAGCAGUUUCUUCUUCGGUGGUGAAGAUUAAGAUUACAAAGAAGCAGUUGGAGGAAUUGUUAUGGCGAGCCGACAUGGAAGGGUUGCCGAUCCAGCUGCUCCUAAGCCAUCUCUCGGAAGAGAGCGAUGCUGGUCGUUGGAAUCGGAAUCGGCCAUGGAGACCAACCCUUCAGAGUAUAGCAGAGGUGGCGGAGUAGAAAUGAAUGGUGGCCCUGGGGAUGUUUCCAACCAUGUUUGAGUAGUAGCUGUUUCCAUGUUUCUGGUUCUCUUAGUCUCUGCAGAGAUGUUUGGGUCAUUUGAGCUUUUUUUUUUGUACAGAGUAGAAUAGAAGUGAGGUGGCUUAGCCCACCAGAAGAGAGCUCAGGAAGCUAUAGAAAAAUCCUAAUUGCAGCUGUAACCCGCACACCAUUCUUUGGGCUAGUGAUAGUGGUUAAACAUGAAAAUAAUACUGUUCAUUAAAGGGGAAAUCUUUCAGUAUUUUCACUUCUAGCUAUUCACCAUCCACAACCACACCCCACACCUCUCACACACGCCAAAAAAAAAAGGGGAAAAGAAAACAACAACACAAAUUCUGGAAAGAGAGCAAUUCAUGCCUACCAUAUCUAAUUAUGGACUGCAAAAUUAAAAUUUAAGUUAUAUAAAUUUAAACAUUUCUUUCUAAAAGAAUUUUGAAUGUGCAUCACUUAUGCACCAAAUGCUCCUGAAUUUGUAGUUUAGCUAUUCAAAGAUCGCUAAUAUGCUCCAGUCCCUUUGGGGCUUAUGAAACGUAGUAAAAUCUUUGGAAUAAUGAACUUGAAUUGCAAAGAACAAUAUAAGUAUUUGUAAUCAAUAUUAACAGCACACUAAUACAAGAUCAGAAAUUAUUUUUGAGCAAAUCUACAAGGUACCUCAAUCUUUUCCAAGUCUAUUGAUUCGUACUGGGUUCAGUUCAGAUGAAAAAUAAUCAAGAAAUUGAUUAUUAUGGUGAACAUCAAAAGAAUUCAAAUUAGCAUAAAGAUAAUCGACUUUUAGGCCAACUUGAUCAAUUGUGUUACGGUAAGUUGUUGGUUUCUUUGCAUAAAUCAUGUAGCAACCGGUAUGGAUGGGAAAAUAUCUCAACUCAGGCAUCACGAACUGACCGAACAGAUGAAAGAGUCAAUAUUUGCCGGCAUAACUUUUAUUUAUUGAACUACAAUUUUUUGACAUGACUUGAUAGAGUGAAAAUAAGAUUUCAUUAUAUUCUACAUUAUAUUCUUAAAGAAGAAUUAUUUUUUAAAAUUAUCUAAUAAUAUAACGCCCAGCUGUGCAAAAAUUUUAUAUUCUAAACCUGCAGUUUACCUCCUUUUGUCCGUCUGCGCCACCCUAUUAAAAAGUUCUGUUUGCCUCUCAUUAAACAAAGUGGAAAAUGUCAUGAGUUGAGCAUAAAAAGUUGGAGAGAAGAAAUAACCAACAGGGAGUGUUUAGGUACGUGCCAAAUGGAAUAUCACUUGAUCUCCUGAUACAAAGAGCAUAUCAUCAUUUCAUCACGGUACAAACAAGACGGAAAAAAAGAACCUUAUGUCAUAAGUUGAGCAUAAAAAGCUGGACAGAAGAAAUAACCAACAGUUGUAUUUAUGUACAUGCCUUAAUGGAAUAUCACUUUAUCUCCUGAUACAAAGAGCAUAUCAUCAUUUCAUCACGAUACAAACAAGACGGGAAAAAUGAACCUGACAAGAGAAACAAAACACGCUUCGGAUUCAUUUUUGCGCAACAGGUACCUCUACAGGAGGUAUGAUGCUUGGAGUUGGUAUCAGUGCCAACAUUUGGUUCUUAAUUAUGCCCAUACAUGUCUCUAUCUCCCUGUAAAUUGGAAGGUUCUGUGGACAACAUGGCUGAAGACUUGUGACUGCAGAAUCAAGAAUCUGUGCAAUCUCGGCAGGUGGGUAUUGUCUCUCGGUGCAGGUCUGUUCGACAACAAUGACAAACUUUAGGAGACAAAAGGUAUACAAAAUAACCCGUAUAUUAACAUAGCAAUGGCAAUAAUAUACAGCGAGGAGCAUUGACCCACUCAAAUGAGAGAAAUCAAGCAAUACUAGAAUCCAUGUAUAAACUACUUGUAAUAUUAACACAGAGAGUAGAUAAUUAUUGCAUAGUUGCAAUAGUUAGAUCCUUAGGGAUAUGUCAAUUUGUCCAGAAAUGUUCAAGACUUCCAACUUCCAAAUAUCAUAUCGAGUCAUUUCCAAGUGGCCGUAUGUGUUAGCCCUCCAAAGUUUCCAAAAUACUGAUGCUUAAUGCAGACUUGAAUUGGAAUUGGAUCUUAAAAUUAUAUGCUCUUUUUUCUUUGGCUCAUCAUCAAAUACAUGCUGGGACCCUUACGAUAAAGGAAAAGGCAUAUCUGCUUUAUGGUGUCUAAAUUAAGUUGUAAAUAUUCAUAUCGGACCAUAAAUGGGAAAAAAGACACCGAUGUCCCUCUGCAUUAAUGUUUUUGCACUUCUGGAUCUCAUUUAACAUAUAUACACACACACACACACACAUACACACAAACACCCAUACUGGAAUAUACAAAACUUUUUUGAAUGAAUUCAAAAGAAAAAUUGCUCUAGUACUAACAGGCUCGAUAACCAAAUAAAAAUCGCUACGACAAUAUCGCUCUUACGAAAUGAGAAUUUUGAUAUUGAUUAUCAACGGCUUCACAAAAUUUGUUAUGAGAAUACUUCUAUAUGCUGGAUCAAAUAAAAUGGGUAACUGAAAUUUUUUAGUAUCAGUUAAGUUAUAUCUCCUUAGGGGAGAUUCAAAGGCUAUUUCAUUUAACCUAUGGUGUAAACUUUCAAGUUAUGCACUAGAAUGUGCCUUAGAAAGUUAGAAUAUAAGAAUUUUAAAAAGAUCAAGAGUCGCAGGCAAGCUGAGUUCCGAUCAAGAGUUCUAUGUCACACAAGAGAUUAGAGAUGGACGAGUUUCACAUACCAAUCUUCAAAAUUUUAAAACAUACAGCCAUAUGACAACCACCACAGAUUAUACGGGUGUGUGUUGAAUAAUAAUAUAAUUUCCAAGAGAGUUUACCUGUAUCAUGAGCAAUGUAGCGACACAUGAUGAAAUCAGAUCUGAUGGAAGUUGGAUCUCUGAAUCAGAAGAAAUAUGGGGUUUUGGACUAGCAUGAACUGUUGCCUCAGACAUGCAUGAUGUUGUAUGAUCUUGAUAUGCUGAAAUGCCAUGUCCUGGAUCUGGAGGAUUGCGUCUUACUCCAAAUACACCAGAAACAGGUCCAGAAAUGCGGUUGUUAGCAGAAUCUAAAGCCUCUCCAAUCUUAACAAAAGCAUCUUCUCCUUCUUUCAAAGCACACAUAGCCUGAGAAGUGUAUCAAGACAAAUGCAUACUCUUAGAUAUUCUUUGGAACUAUAAAUUUGACAAACUACAGAGAACUUGUUCCCAGAAAGCAAGCAUCUAAAACAGGCUAAGAACUGAUAAUUGGUUCUACGUUUGUUAGACUAAGAAUACCACUGAAUUCUGAAAUUCCAAACACUGAACCAACAUAAGAGACAAAAACAUAAAAAACCUGAUACAGAGAAAUGAUGAUGGUCAAACCCACCUGCAUAGCAGCAUCAACUACCGUUCUUGCUUUCCGCCUUGAACUUUCAACAAUCUCAGCUACAUGAGAUCCUGAAUCCUGAUUGAGAAAAGCUGAUGGAUUGCAAGAGUCUGGAGGUCCAGCAGCCCCCCCUGAAUUCUCAAUGGAUCUAACCCAUGCAUGUGUUGAAUUCCCAUGGUACGUGUUGCGCUGCCUCAAAGAGAGCAAGGCCGAAGCAACCUAAUAAUGAAAACAAAAGACAAUAGCUUUUGGUCCUAAAGACUUUGCAAUAUAGACAACAAAAAUCUAAGGAAAAAGAAAAAUGUGCAAUUAAAACAUGAGUGGCAUAAGGUCCAUGAAUGAUUCUUACCUGAUCAUUGGCAUCUCUUAGCUGCACAAGCACCAUAGCAUAUUGCUUUCUAAAAUGCUCCAAAUCUUUAAUGGCAUCACCAUCCUUUUGCUUUCCAGAAACUUCUUCAUUCAUGUGCCUCAGUUCCAUCAGCAAAGCUUCCUACAAAACAUUAACGCGUAGCAGUUCACCAAUCUCCGCUAAUUUCAGUAGUCUUAACUUAAAGAAUCCCUAAAAUUUUCUUCAUAACCACUUUCUGAUUUAUGAGCAAUAAGAACAGAAAGAAAUCCACCACAAGCAACAGGCACCAGAUGUAAGUUAAAGGACAAAAAUGUUUUGCAAUAUAAAUCUAGCAAACACAUCAUAUGCAAUCAGCUGUUACAAAUGUAUAUUGUUAUGAAAUUCCAAAAGAAGCAUUUACAAACUAGAUAGGAUCUUUUGAAUUUAAAUGUCACUAGAAUAGCUUAUAAUAUUGUGAAAAACUACCCAACCAAACAACAAAUCCUGUCCAACAUAUUUAGGGUUAGAUACAAACAUAAAUGGCAAAAUAUCAAAGUAGAAUCAUCUGCAUUGAUUAAAAGCUUUCUCAACUGGUACCAAAAAGAGAGUUUGUGGACAGGGGUGCAUGCCUAACUGAAAUUUAACAGGCAUCAAAUGGCUAACAGUUUACAUGGACAGCUGUCAGACAUGCCUAAGGAAUGAAUGCAUAAUGAUAAGAAACAAAGGUCAUAGCCAUGGUCUGCCGUACCAGUCCGUACCGGCCGGUACGGGCCGGUACGUACCGGUCCGGCCUGGGACCGGUACCGGAUCAGCGUGGAAUCCGGUACCGAUAGUUUAUUGUUGAAAAACCGGUAUGGGACCGGUUCCGGUAUGGCGGACCUUGGUCAUAACACUUGUGAGUUGAUCUCUUAUUUUAUCUGGACAGCACUAAUAAUAUGUUUUAGACCCACAAAUCACAACUUGACCUGUAUACACAGGAACCAUUGGACUUUGCUCCAUUGCCCAGGUAGGAAGCAUCCCUGUAUCAGCAAGUUAAGCUGCUUCCAUUGAUAUCACUAGAGCAGUCAUGGACACAAGAGAAGACCCGUGGUAAGAAAUGAAUUUGUAAAAAUGAUACGUUCAAGAGAUGAAUUCAUUAUAUGUUAAUAAUAAGUAAAUAUGGCACAACUGUUUAUGCUGGAAUGCAGUUAUUUUAUUCCUUCAAACAUAACGUUUACAGGAAGUGUCACCUAGACACUUUAAAAAUUAGCCUUUUUGAUGUAUCUAGUCACAUGGACACCUAUAAGCUUCAUAACACUCCUUCACACUUUAAAUCAACAAACAAUGAUAGUAAACUAUCAACACUUGACACUUGACCAAGGUUCCAAAUCUCAGGAUAUGACCCUGUACUAUUCAUGUACUAGUAUUGUACCACAUAUGCUCCAGAUCUACACAUAGUUUGCUGAACCAGACCAUACCCCAAUGUUGAUACAAGUCAAUAUAAUGGGCAACAUGGAAAUUUGAAAAUGAGGAAUUACAAUGUCGAAUUUAUAAAAUUGAACAUAAACUACAAGGUUUAAAGCGAUUUUAAAUAUAUAUAUAUAUAUUUCUCCGGGAAUUCUGGCAUAUGCCUUACUAAUCCCAAAAUCAGAAAGAUGUAUCAAACCAUUAGAAGUUUAGAACUUUUAAUUUAAGAUGAAUUGAUUCAUAGGCAAGAUGUCUGCAAAAGAUGUGAAUAUUUUGUUCAUAGACACUUUAAAACUGGCACAUUGUAUUGAGCAGUUCCGAUUUCUGUUUUGCAACCCUAUUUUGAAUUUUAUAGGGUGCAUGAAUUAUAAGCCCAUAAGCCCACAAUACAUGUAGAUGUUUUUUAUGCUUAUGUCCACAUCAAUGCUCUUUAUGGUGAAUUUUGGAGAGUCUCUUAUUUGUUUUAUUAACUUGAAUUGCAACCAUUAAGUAAAACCUUUCUACCACCAACUGGCAGGUUUCACAACAAGCACCUUUCUUGCCUAACUUAGCAUUGGCCUAGAAAACCACACCCAUUUCCAGAGGUUGACACCAGAUCGAACUGGUCAUUAAAUGUGCCAAGUCCUUGGAGCCUUCUCAACUGACAGGUAUGCUUUCUGCUCCAUAACUUACCUCAAAUUCAACAGGAAAAGGCUUUGACAAUAACAUCUCCUGCUUUAUAGUAUGAAAAAAGCAGAUAACAUAAUGGUAUACAGAAUGUUAUACACGGAAUCAUAACCAUCAAGCCUUAUGGCAAAUUUCUAGGGUCAACAAUAAAUUUUCCCUAGGACUUUGGUAGCGAAGGAUAUAUUGCAGUAAGAAACCCCACCACAAGGAAUUGUUACCAACAAGCAUUACCUUUUUAUCAAGGGCACGCGACAACUCUGCAAGGACUCUUAUGUCAGCUUCUCUUUCUUGUAUUUGUGACAAUGUACAAGGCUGACUGUACAUUGCCUGUUGUGCAGCAACUGCAACUUCAUUUACAGUAGCUUUAGCCUGUACAAUGGCAUCAAUUGUGUCCCCCUGUCAGAAAGGUUCGCCCGUUAGGAUACUCCUUUACAAACCAUCACUGUUCAAAACAGAAAAGGAUACAGAAUGAAAAGCAAAAAACCUUUGCCUGCUUCAUUAAAGUAUGCAUCGGAUAACUAGAAGAAGCAAUAUUAGAAGACCCAUUUGUAAUUUCCAAACUCUCAGCUGGAGCAAACUUCAUGGAGCCUCCAAUCUUCCACUCCUUGGAUCCAUCAUCUAGCUUUGUAUCUGAGAAGCUGGUGCAAAACUUAUUCGCAACAAUAUUCUGUCUUCUAAGAGCUUCAGGAAUAUUUUCCAAUGGGUUCAGUGGCAUGCAGUCGAUAUCCUGGAAAUAGUAUUGGUGAUUACACAAUAUCCAGGAGCUUGCUAUAAAAUUCAGAAGUCACAAAUCACAUUGAAUCUUUUGUCAAUAAACAGCAAAAACAUUCAUUUGGUAACCAACCCUUAGAAUCCAAAACAAAACAAAAAAAAGAAGCAUCAAAUUGCACUUGAAUAGUAAACAAUAAUGAUCAAAAAUAAACUAUGAAACCCAAGAAAAUCCAAUUGCUUCAAUAAAAGAGCACUACCAUUUUAGUAUUAAGAUUUUCUCCACCAAGAGUUCAAGCAUCGCUGACAUGGGGCAUACCAGCCAGCGGCCAGCCCUAGCAUGUCUUCUCAUGCCUACAUGUGCCAUACCAUACCGAAGAAUAAAAAUCAAGAAACAUACAUUUUGGUUCCUAAAACAGUUAAUAGACUUUACUUAAAAAACAGAUAAUAUUUGCUUAUAAACAGGUAAUAUUUAGGCAUAUAUAUGUAUGUGUGGGUAUCUAAAAUACAUGUACAUACUAUAUGAAUUUUGAGCCAGGGUGAGUGGGGCUAUCAAGCUCAUAAAUCAGUGGCCCAAGCUCAACACGGUUUUAAAUGGGGCCACAAAUUUGAGACCCAAGCUCAGCCAAGCCAAAGAAACAUUAGCCCAACCUACUUACAAUACAAGCUGGGUUGAACAGCCAUUGGCUGGCCAAGCCCAAUUUGCAUCUCUAGGUCUACCAUACCAUAAGUCCAUAACCCAACCAUCAAUGCUAAGGGAGUUACUUUAUCUUAGAGAUACGAUCCCCUUGAACUUAAGGGACAUCCCCACCAAGAAUUUGACAUAAAAGUGACCGAUGAUGAACAAACAAUAGAUCUGGUGAUGAAAAAGAAGCUAAAAAGAUAGAAUGGAAUGAAUAAGCUACAAAAAGUUGUAUAUGAAGAUUAAUGGAAGACUUACCCUGUGUUUCGUUGGGUUCAUGAGAGGGAGGAUAUAUAGGGUUGGAAGGAUGGAUGGCCCCCAUCCACCAUUUGAUUCAAAAAAAAAGUUAGGAUGGAUGAAAAUGAGGGAUUGCCCAUCCAUCCUGACCCACCAAUUUGCAUCGAAGGAUGGAUGGAAAAUGUGAAGGUGAGAUUCUACAUUGCCAAAAUUGCCCCUCAUUAAUUUUUGACAAAACUCUAACACUUUCACUUUUUCAUUCAUUUUAUUUAUAUUUUUUUUGUUUUACCUAUACUAUUAACCCUAUACUAUUAAAUUUUAUUACUAAUUAUUUUAGUUUUAGUGCAUAAUUUCCAUAAUUAUAAGCAAAAGAUUAGAAUUGUCUUCUAUUUUUCUAUUUAUAUUCACUUAUUUUUGGUUAAAUAUUUAUAUAAAAUUGAUUAACUAUUUUAAUUAAAUUAUAAAUUAAUUAGCCAUUUAUAUAAUUAAUAUAUAAAUAAAUUAAUUCAUAUAUAACUAAUUUAUAAAAUCAUUUAUUUAACGAGAAUAAAUUUAAAUUAAAUAUUUAUAUAAUUUUUUAUAUAAUUAUAAAUUAUAAAAACUAUAAGUUUAUAUAUUGUCCUCCUUUAGUAUAAAUAAGUGUUAUAAAUUGAUAAUAAUAAUACUUUUAUUAAAGGGUAGUUAGUAAAAAUGUCAUAUACAUAUCAUCCAUCCUGUCUUUCAUUCCUUCUACACCAAAUAAAGGAAGGAAUCAUUCCUAUGCAUCCUUCCAUAUUUCACUAAAUAGACGGCUCCCUCCUCCAUCCAUCCAUCCUCCAAUCCGUCCUUCAUACCAAACAGAGGAUUAAGGUGCCAAUCAAGGAUGUAUCUAAAUGCAUGGACAGAUGUAUGUAUGUAUUGCGCAUGCUUGCGUGCAUGUAUGUAUGUGUGUGCACACUGUGUAUGCCUCUAUGUAUCUGUGCAUGUAAAUCAGUAAAUGCUUAUAUAAAAUAUUCGUCUCCUCACAGCUACAAGUUCGUCCUCAAAUUGUAAAACAAUAAAUUUGAAUUAGGGAAUUUAAUGAUGUAAUUUCAAAAAUAUAAAUAACAAGGUCAAAGAUUCCAAAAACAAUAAGAACGAACAAAACUAAUUAGCUAAGCAGCAGCUGUUUUAUAACGCAAUUACCAUCACAAGCUCGACCCCUAAUUCAGGCCGAUCAAAUUGAACUCUGCACCGGUUCCGGUCAACAGUCAGAAUACUUCCAUCAUGAAUUUCUCUUGUUUUGGGAUGACAAGCGAUAACACGUUGCCCAACUGAUAAAGGCUGAGCCAGAUCUGUUGGGAGUCCUUCUCUAACACCAGCUCGAAGUUCAGCAUAAUGCUUCCUUACUGAUUCCCGAUAUUGCUCAAGCUUCUCUCUUUCUUCCUGCAAAAACUGUUUUGACAACCUACGUGGCUUUCCAAGAGAACUGCGAUAAUGAACAAACAAGCAUUUAGGUAAACAGUCUCAAUAAAACAUAAAUACGAAAUAUGAAAAUACCUUCGUAUGACACCCCACUCGAUACGAGUUAGCCUUGGCACAUGGCCCAAUCUCACAUGAUUUAGGUACUCUACAAACUCACUUUUGGCAAACCAAGGAUAAUCUAUCGCACUGUAAAACCAUUCAAACAUACACCAUCUACGCAACAUUCGAGAAGACAAGCUGUGAGAAAGUUUUUGCUGCAAGAAGUAACAUCAGACUUUGUUAAAAACUUCUAGCUGAGUAACACUUGGACCAUAGAAGAUAAAAUAUAUCAAACCUUGAGAUCAACCACCCUGUUGACAGGAUGUGAGUACUUAUCAGGACGAUUGCCUACAGUAUUCUCAUUGGACUUAAACUCCUUCGAUCUCCAUGCUUUCUGUAGACCUACCUUGCGGCGGCUUCUACUUUUGGUUAGCAAGCUAACAGGACAAGUACUAGAAGCCUGUACAAUUGUUUCGUUUGAAUCUGUGACUGGUCUAACUAGAUCAGUACUUGAAGAAGAGUUCUCCUGUGGUUUAACCAAUUUUGCUUGCUUUGGUGAUGAACUAACUUGACUAACACGUCUAGUUUUACUAAUCAAUCUCUUCCCUUCUUCUGGUGAGACCUGGAAAACAAGUGCAUCAGAAGAAAUAUUAAUAGAAAUCCAUAACUAGAACUUCGUGCCAUCUUAUUUUCAGAAGGAAUUCAUCUAUCAAUUACUCCAUCAGAGAAAGAAAAAACACAGUCAGCAUAAAUUAUUCUCAAAUUGCAAAUAGUAAAUAAAGUGAAAUAUAAAUAUAAGGCAAACAAAGAAAACUAGAAAACUAACAGAAAAGAUGAAAAUAGAUUGGCAUGAAGAAUUUGAAUCAAAAUUUUAGAAAAUGAAGUUCUUCUUUUUUAUAUUCUGGUUUUUGUGUGUGCGUGCCUUUUUUUUUUGGGCGGGGGGGGGGGGGAUAUGCAUCAACUUAAAUGUAUUAUUUUAAUCAGUCAAACCAGAUAUAUAUCAAUUUUGAGCUUAUUUUUGUGGUUAAUGCUUAAACGUAGUUAUGAAAUGUUAGCUUGAGCAACAAUUGCUUAAAAUUAUUUUAAUGCACAUUUUUAACAACAAUAGAUAAAUAUAUCAAGGAAGACUUGUGUAAUCCUAGAUAAAAGCAAAACUAAAAAAUAAUGUUCACCAAUAAUAAUUAAUAUAAGUUUAUUAAAAAAUAUAAAUAUAGAAUAAACCUUGACAAAUGUGAAUCCUUUUACAAAUUUGUGAAUCUUUUUGCAAUGGGGUGUGUCAAGUAUUAGAAUCAUAUGGCACAAUACCUCUACCGUGCCAAUGUUUAGCUGGCACCUACAUAAUAUGUAAUACUUAAUUACGCCUCCAUGGCAAUCGCUUAACCAUGAAUAUGUGAUACUUAAUUACGCCUCCAUUGACCUGAGUUUUGAGAAGUUCUAGUAUACAUGUAUGGUUACUUUAGCAAAAUUAGCACAAAGAGUUGUGCAUCUCUUCAUGUCUACCACUUUCUGACAUUUAAUUACUUAAUACUGUUGUUUAUUCUUUUUUUAAUCAUCGAUUCUUUUUCCAGUUUUUAACCUUCUUAGUCAAAACUAGCAAAAAUAAUUUAAUGUCCUCUUUUGAAUGUAUUAGGCAGAAAGUAUUAAGGGGAAAAUGUUCCUCCUACUCCCCAUCAUUACCACAUGUGAAUUUGGACCUUGUGAUGGUUAAGAAGUCCAUAAAAAAAUUUCAACCACUAGCAAGACCAUCGACCAAGACAUCUGAGCCUUUUCAUGAAAGAAGGGUACAAAGGCUAUCCAAGAAGCUUUAAAAAUGCCACGUCAUGAUUGAAGCCUGAGGGUGAACCAUGGCCCAAUGGCACCGUUCCUCCAUGGUCGCAAGUUCGAAACACAGAAGCAGCCUCUCCACAUGCAAAGGUAAGGCUGUGUAAAUUUGAGCAUCCCUAGACAAAACAAUGGCAAGAGCCUUGUGCACUGAGCCGCCCUUUAUGAUUGAAGCCUCUUUUAUAAAGGUUCUUUUUGCAUUAGGAUUUCAAAUUGCUAAGUCUUAUUAUUCACAAAAAGACUGCACAUGAACAAGCCUUGCUAGAAGGCCAUAAGUAGAAGUCAUCAAUAAUGGCAACGAGAACAGCAUAGGGCUAAUCAAAUCUAACAAUUAUGAAACACACACAAACAAGACCAAGAGCUCAUGCAUACCAGGCAGAAUCAAAGUUAUCUCCUCACAUUGGUGCUAACUAACAAAAUAAGGUACAACCCGUUUUCAUUGUACAAGAAAAGGGGGAUAUAAUAGAGUUUAUUUCAUGCAUUAUAUAAUAUAUAGACUUACUAAAAGAAGCUAAAUAUCAAUGUAUCGAUUUGCAUAUAGUACAUUUGACAAGAAAUAGCCAGCUGAAAUUCAACUAUAAUAGAAAGAAAAAAAGGUCAAUCAGAGUCUUUAAAACUAUUCCAGAAACAUUUUUUAGCCAUCAUAAUAAGAAAUCAAGUUAUGAGGAAAAAAAGGAAGAAAGAUUAAGGCACCUCUAUCUUCUGUGGUUCACAUUUCUGAGAAUCACCAUUAAAUUCACCUUUUGAAGCCUGCAAAUGGUAAAAAUAAAUAGGUAGAAGUCAUAAAACAAAGGCAGCUCAUAUCCUGCCUGAAAAAGACAUCUCAUACACUGAACAAAUGACGGUAAGUGCAAAAAAUGAGAUGGCAAUAUCAUGUUUAUCAAAACAGUUGCAUUAGAAUCUUACUUUUCCAGUCGAAGACUUCCGUUUUUUUUUCUGCAUCUUACUGGUGCAUGCACAAGUUUGCUGCUUCACUUCAGAAAUGGCAUUUACAUCAUGACGUAAACACUUUGCAGGCUUAGCACUUUUCCUGGUAACAGCAUCAGUACCAACACUUGUCGAAUACCCUGUCUCCUUUUUCACUGAAACUUUGGCCUGAUCUCUCUCAUGUGUUGUUGACAUUGAUUCAGGUAUAUUAGGCUCCUCAGCAGUGUUGAUGUUUCUUUUCUCUUCUUUAACUUGGAAAGAUGAUUCUAGAAUUCAUACGAGAAAGACAUACAUAUUAGAAAAACGGAAGAUCAGUUUUUAAAUGAAUAACAUGUAGAUAAGGUCAGAAAGGUGAAAUUAAAAAACAAAAAACACAGUGCUAGUAAAUUCAUUUGGCUAAUAUCGACAAAUUUCAUAAAUUAGACAUUAAUCCUUUAAACAGUUCAUGAUAACCUCUGAAGGAAAAAAAAGUACAGUACUCAGACAUGUCGAAGCAAGAUCAUUUAGUCAAACUAACUAAAAGGACUUGUCUCCAGAAAUGAUUAAAGGAUCAUGUCUUGGUUUUUGUUCUUUUAUAUAUGCAAUGAUAUUGAGCAGCUAAACUCCAAUCUGUAUAUGAUGAAUGAACUCUCUCACUCGCAUGCGCAUGCGCUCAUUCGUUGCAUUAGUAUGUGGGUGCAUCUGCAAGCACCAGCACGGAAGAUAAAGGUUUUAUCAGGAGUCCUACAGAGAGUGAGGAAUGAGCAAUUAUCUUUUGUAUCCACUAGUACUAAUAAAAGUCAAGAAAUGUUUGAUUAUAUUAAUAUUAACUACAUUUACUUUAGACACAAAAUGAUCAUUAUAGACCCCAUAGAAUCAUCAUCAAGAAAGUUUUAGAAAGAGAGAAAAUUUUUUCCAUGCUAUACCACAAAUAACCUCCUCAACCAGCCACCAUGGAAAUAUCAGGCUAAUAGAGAAUCUUAGACAUCAUCAAAAAAUAAAACUCUAUUUACUGAGAAUUUAUACCUUAUUAAUCCACUUCAAGUUAUAGAACUUCUUCGGUAAUGUGCAUGAAAGUUUAAGCAGGACUGACAAAAUCAUGCCCAGUAUGUAGAAUUUCAAAUGAUUAAUUAAUACAAUAAAAUGCUUAAGAAAAUUUAGUGCCCUUAAACUUCUAAUAAACUAGAACUUAACAUGCCUUUGCAACAAACUCAAAAAUUAUUAGUUGAGAUAAAAAUGCAACGUUCUUCCUAGAGGUUCUGCAAAAUAAGGCCUUUGGCCCUUUAGCCUUAGACAAGAUAGGUUUUGCAAAUGGCUGAAAUUGCCAAACCUCCAAAAUCAAGGUCAAAUUUUGACAUGUUUAGACUGAAAAUCUGAAAUUUAAAACCAUGGAUGUAAUAAGAUUAUUGUGCAUGUUGAUAAUGAUAAACAAUCUACGUUCACCUUAUCUGGCAUAACUUCCUGUUUUUCUGUAUACAUAUAUUUACAGAUAAAUGACAGUAAAAUGUUCUUAGCAGCUCAGAUCUAAGUUGAUACAAACUUCAAAAACCAAAAGACAUUGAAUCCAAUUUCCAAUCCACAAAUAGUGAGGUUUACAAGUUUAAUUCACUUGAAACAAGUUUCCUGAACAUGUUAGUAAUGUAACAAUUAUGAACAAUGACCCACUUUACAAAUGUAAAUACAUCCCAACAACAAUUUCAUACUAACUUUUGGUAAUAGUAGUUCUCAAAAAAGAUCUAGAAUGAAAGGUCAUGAGAAUGUGCAUUCUUAAUCUCUGAAAAGGAAACAAAAGGAACCAAAGGAAGUACUCAAUAAUUCAAUACGAAAAAAGAAAGCAUUGCAAACUACAAAAGGAUGAACACUAAUUCUGACAACAAUGACUUGUUAUGUAUCAUACUAGAGUAGUAGUAAAAUUAAAAAAUACAAAAAAAAAAAUACUGAGACAUAUGAACAGGAAACUAACCAGAUUCAACGGUAGAGGUAGGCAGCAAGAUAUUUACAGACAAAUCUGCAAGUGUCUGUAGAGCAUCAAGGGCGGAGCUUUCAUCUACAUGAACAAAACAGUGAACAAGAAUAAUAUUUCGUAGGCAUUUGAUGUAACAGACAACAAGAGAAGAUGGCAUGUGCCAAAAGAAAGUGAAACAACAUAAUUGUAUAGCAUCAUGCACCAAUCAAUUUAACAUAUUCUCAAUGUCAAGCUUGAAAGGAAACAAAAUUAGCAUUAUGCACAAUUCCAUAGAAUAUAUUAUAUUAUCAAGCUGGAAAGGAAACAAAAGGUAAAAAUCACAUACAAAGAACUAAACGAGAAAAAUUGAGAAUCAUGAAAAUAUUUCAAUGACCAACAUACCGAAUAAGUAACCAAAAAUUAUUCAAAUAAUUCAUUUUAGAAGAUUAGAAUAUUCAAUAUAAAAGAUUUGUCUAUCACCAGAACUAUGAAAGUUCUUUUUCCUUUUUUGUGUGUGUGGGGUGGGGGGUGGCGCAAUCUUGCUCAUUUGUCUAGAAAGGGAUCAAAGAUGUGCUCAAUGUCAUAUGACACUUGACCAUAUAGUACAUGGAAUAAGCAACACAGUUAAAUAAAAGAAGAUGGUAGUAAGAAUUCAAUUCCAAUUUGUACAUUGUUAAGCUAGAAAUAAAGAACAAACAAUAAAAUGUCGUCACAGCCACAAAUAAAAAUAUUCAAAAGAAGAAAUGAUAACUACCUUUUAAUCAUAUUGAGAAUCCUAAGAAAAAGCACAAAAUUUGACACGUACCUCCAAAAAAUAGCUGGCGGCUUCUUUUCCUUGAACUCUUGGAUCCUCUUACAGUUUUACCCUCCAUAGUCUCUCCGUCAAUUUCAUCUUUAACUUUUCUAAUAUUGAUGCCUUCUUCAGUACCACUGCAUGCUUCCCUGUCAUCAUCAAGUUGAUCAUUUUCCAUGUCUGCUGCUGCUUUUUUUCUCUUUUCCUGAAGUUUCUUCACCUUCCUUCUAGUUUCAACUGCUGCAGCCCCGUCAUUUUCUAUCAGACGAGUGACAUCUCUAACAAAAUCUCCAUUCUCAGCUUCUCUACUUCCUAAACUGCCUUCAUGACAAUCGCCCUCAAUUUGAACACCAACUAACUUUGAGCUGUCCAUCUCCGACUCGUUCUACAUUUUGUAUUAGGAAGAGAAUUUUUUAUUAUUUAUAGCAUUAUGGCAGAAGAAAUAAACUCCAGAACUUAAGAUGCUCACCUUUUUUUCACCACUCUUAGCAGGAGAAGAUCUCCUGUGAUCAGCUCUUCUUCCAGGGGUUCUAGAAAGCUGCGGUGAGCCUCCUCUCUGAGAAGCCUCUGCUAAAGCCAAUGCAGCCACAUGAGCACCUUCAUCAUCAGCAGUGUUUGAAACAGAUUUCAAUGCUUGUUUAUUUGGAGAAAGUAUUUUAUCCCUGUCGUCUCUGCUGUACAUAUUUGAAACAGGGAUGCGGGGAGUCCUUUUCCCAACCGCACGAGGUCGGCUACCUGGAAAUAGAUCUGGCAAUGUUUCAAGAACUCAAUUUUAUUCAGCUGAAAAAAUAGAACAUUAAAUUUUGUGUCUGUAUUUACGUAUACAAACAUCAGAAGCAUGAGAACAUCCACAACAGAGGUUGACUAAGUGAGACUCAUGACAUUCACAUAAACUGAAAUGAAUUAGAUUCUAACAUUGAUAAAUAAAAAAGCUUCCAGACCAGAUGAAGUAUAGUGGCAACUAACAAGAAUUAUAGGCAAAGGAAUAAAGCGCAAUGGUUAAAAUUAUGAUAAUGACAAGAACAAUGUGAAAUGAAACAUAAGAAUAUCAUAAUGUACAUAAUUUCACCAGUACUAUCAAUCAAAGUCGGAAGCCUUGAUAUAAAGCUAUACAAGAGGGUACUUGAACAACAGCCGAACAAUAAGCCAUGUCAAGAAUUUCGGAAAAACCAAUCUGGCUAUAUGCACAGAAGCUCUGCAACUGAAGAGUUUCCUUCGAGGCAAGUCAUAGAAAAUUUUAAAGCAAAGACUAAAAUUAAAAGAUAUUAAUUUCAACAAAAAUUACAUAAAUAAAUAUAAACAGCACUUGGCAGUUGGGAAUGAUGAUAGGCGCACUGCCAACUUAACAGAUAUUGCAGCUCUAGAUAUUACAACUGGGAGUUAUAAAAUAUAAAAUGGAGUAUUUGACACCAGUAUUUCUGCAUGUUUGUGCACAUGUCAUGGUUAAAAGUGCCAGCCAGCAUAUACCAUGCUGGGUAAGUAUCAGCACCCGGCAGGGAUCUGCGCUGCACCUGUUAAAUCCAUAUUUUAACACUUUUUAAGUACUUUUAGUUUUUGCUUUAGCCAAGUAAGACAAGUGCAGGCAUGAAGUGGUUUAGAGUGCCAGCCACAUGUACCUUGCUGGGUUAGUACCAGCACCCAGCAAGUCUGCACUGCACCUAUUAAAGCAUAUUUAAUAUGUUUUUAUUUUUUAAGUUUUCUAAUAUGCUUCAGCCAAGUAAGACAAGUUCAGGCAUGAAUAGCCAUGCCAUGCCAACUUCCGAUUGGCACAGGUACUCACACCGAUAUCUAAAACUCUGGUGCAUGUGCAUGUGUGCUUGAUUGAAGCAUCUAUAAAUGCAUAUAACUGGCCAAAGCAAAUGUCUAAGAAAUUCAUGAUGCCAAGCUGACAGCCGACUAGCAAGGGUACUCACACCAAUAUCUUAAUCCUUGGUGCAUGUGAAUAUGUAAUUGAAGCAUCUAUAAAUGCAACUGCUUAGAUGACUGGUCAUCGCAUAUGUCUAGAAGAAAAUCAUGGGCAUGGAAGAAUCAAUGUAUUGUACUCAGAUCCUUCAGAAUUAUAUAAAUGCAACCAGAAAUGUUUCCUUUGUUUAGUUCUACUUUCAUCCGCUGCUACCUCAAAUUGAUAGUGAUAAAGAAUUAAAAAAGUUCUUGGAAAGUCUAAAUGUUGAUUUCUUGAAACUAAAAUAAGUAGGCACUUGGAGAUGACAAGAUCAAUCUUCUGCAUCUAUAUCUCCUGAUCUUCUAAAAUAUAAAUGCUUUGCAGUGAACUUUUCGGCCAUAUUAAGUCUCAGGUGGAUUGUCAAAUGAAGCAGCAAUGCUUCCAAUAAAGGUAUUCAGAAAAAUUCUACAGAGCCAUUAUGCUGAAACCUUGAAAGUUACCUCCAGAUCGCUUCUUCUUUAAUAAUGACAGGCAUCCUGAUGUUGGACCUGACUGAUACUGCAGUAGAUCAGGAUAGGGACCAUCGGAACCUUUUGACAUGAGUCGAAAUUUUCCCCGACCACGCUUUUGAGUCUUGCGAGAUGUUCUAGACACAUCAUUGCUUUCACGACCACUGUCGCUCCCUUCCUGUCAGUUGAUAGUUCCUUGCUUCAGAUAACAGCCAAGUUGUCCAACCAAACAGUAACAAGAUCAAAAUUAAGGUUGACCGUGGAAAAUUUCAGAAGCACAGCCAUGAGAUAUUUAGAGCAUAUUGCAGCACUGAAAGAACCAAUUCAGUUGUAGCAUAGAAUAUAUCUUAUAAGUCGAGCAAUACCAUAGCUGUCCAGUUAAACAGCCACAAACAUUAGAUAUUUGGAAAAUUAUAAAAAGAAACAACUAUACAAUAAGCAAUAAUAUCAUACAAAAGUUCAUUCAGUGCAUCCAGAUAACAAGGUCAUACUGAUUGUAUUACCAUAUAUCACCUUAGAGCAUCCAGCCUAUAGAUUUCUUUUCCUUUUUUACAACAAUAGAAACUAAUACACUGUUAACUUUGCAAAACUUAUAACCCUAAAUAACUAAAGAUUUAUCAGUGGGAGGUGAAAUAAUUUGUCAAAACCAUGGCAAACAUCUUUGCAAUCCAACUCAAUAUGUUUAAUUGUGAAUGAUAAGGAGGUCCUUGAAAACUCAAAUUGCUCUCCAGGUUAUGGGACCAGUGCAUGUUAAAAAGAAUUUACAGACUGAAGAAUAAUGGACAUAGGGUGGCCAUUUUAAUGGAAACACCUUAUUUAUUGUUAGAAGUCCAUUUCAAGUUGUGUAUCAACAAUAAUAUGACUUUUAAAGUCUAAGUACCAUAACUGUGUUCUUCUUCUAUGAGGUACAGUUCCAACAAUUUGUUCUUGUGUAGUAAUGAGAAGUUUUAAGCAGAAGAUUUCCACCUAUUACAUAGUUUUAAGCAUGAAAUUUGGCAAAUGAGGAUCCAUGAAACCAAACCCAACUAGUUCGAACAAGGCUUGAUGUUUAUGGUUAUGGUACGUAAUUUAAUCUAUCAUCCAUAAUUUAAACUCAACUUUUUAGAUUACUGGCAUAGAGCAAACCCAGGAAUUUUGACAGUGUUCAGCAGUGGGUAUGGACUUUACAUUAUCAAUGGGCAGCAAUGCUUAUCAGUACAGGCGCUUUGACAAAUAUAGACAUUUUCAUUGUUAACACGUUUUGUAAUUAUAUAGACAAAACCAAUUUUUAAAUUUAAAAUCCAUAUUAUUUUGUCUAUUGAAAAUGUCAAUUAUUUUUAGUAAUCUUGCCUUCAUCAGUCUAGUUUAUAUUUCACCAAGUCCAAUGACUUCAUGAAGUUUAAAAGCAAAAGCAAUUUUUUACUACGAAAGGAGAUUAGCCAGUUGCACUUAAAUAAAAACCUCCGAGUCUGGUGGAGAUGUACGACACUUUUGUAGGCAUAAUUGUUAUGGAAUUAUAAAUCCAUAUAAACAAAGAGACUACACUUUUGUGUUGGAAACUUGGACCAGGCACAUCCUUUAUGGCACCAAGUACAUGAAAUAUUUACUCAGGUGCUUUACCCAAGGUUUCAAAGAUAGUGACCUUUACACUAUCAACUUCACUAUGUAUAAAGUCGCUCGCUCGCACGCAUGCAUAAGGUUCCAGAUAUAGUGCUCUCUCCAUGAUCCAACUGAUGCAUGCACACACGCACACACCCACACAUAUAUACACAAAUACAUGUACAUAUGAGUGCAUAUGUGUGUAUACAUGCAUGUCUGUAUGUACCAAAAAAAAAAAGCAAUUGAGCACCAAAUAAGCCUAUAUAGUAACAGUAACAUCAAUAUGAAACUCAAUAUCCAAUCUCACCAGAAUAUUGUAGUGAUCAGUCAUCAUUGCGAUUAAUCCAGCUGCAGUAGCUGUUCCUUCUGGAAGGGAUAAGUAUGCCUGAGAUUGCAUAGUGACCAGUUAUAUUCAUGAAGAAAACACACGACUUAUAAGGUCAGCUUUUUCUCAAGACAUCAUUAUAAAAAUUAAGAGAGUAAAACAACAACAGUGUACUCUAAAAUGGUUAUAGUAAAAUUAUUGGAAAAAAACAUAAAUCAGUAGUAUGCAAGGUAUGCUGAUACAAUAUACAUGUGAUCAAAUCCUGUACCUCUAUUAGCCAAAGAAAAGAGUGCUCAACCAUUCCAUAGGUCAAGUCAUGACACAUAGCCCAAAGGCAAUCAGAUAAGGUUGUCAACUGGAAUACUGGAAAAAAAAAUUCUAAGCUGUUCUUCUAUCUUAUCUGCCACACUCUGAUUUACCCUGAAGUACCCACAUUGACACAGCAUGAUGUGGGUGUAAAUAUUACACUAGGAACGAGGCCACGAGAAAAACUCUUAGGCAUUAGAAGGAUCCAACACAGACACACACUCCAACCAGCAUAUCCAUGGCAACAUGGUUCAUCAUAACUUCAACCUUAUCGGAAAUAAAUCAACUAAAAAAUUUGAUCUCGUUCUGGAAAUUUCAAGGUUCAAGGUUGUUCAGAAUACAACUUUGGGUGGAAGAAUCAAUAAUCAUGUGGUUAGCCUCAUUUGCUCAUCAUUAACUUUGAAUCUAGUGCAUCGAAAGCUGACUACUAGCCAUUAUUGCAGUGUUCUGAAGUUCAUAGCUGAGAUAUAUGAAGAAUUUUCAUUGUUUGCAGGACUACAUAAUCAUAAAACUUGUGACCUGUGCAACAGUUCAAUCUGAAUUUCAAGAAUCCCAGAAGCAUCUUGAAGAUAGUGUUAGUAGGGUUUAAGUCAUCAAGCUGUUUGUGCAGAUUGUCAUGUUUAAAGGUAACGCUUGAUCCAACAAAAAAAAAAAACUUCACUAGGAAAAGGAAAAAUGAGCUAUCGAAAUACAAGUUACAAUAAUAUGGCUUGUACUGGUAUUUGAGAGCAUAUAAUGGUAUAUGUAGGGAAAACAUUAAAGGUGAAUGGUGACCAAACAAGAAUGAUACAACUAGCGAGAGAGUAACAUAAAACUAGAGGGCAAUAGAUAAGAUACUCCAUGCAAACUACAUGAUAGUGUUAGUAAAUACCAAAAAUAGAUACAUCAAGAAGCCAAAGCCAUUAACUUUAUAGAACCAAAAGCUCACAUACAUACAUUUAAGGAAAACUUAAUUAAAAAAAGAAAGAAACAGUAUAAAAGUGUUGAACCAUAUAUUAUUGCAGCAGUUAAGAUAACUCCACUGAUCAUAACAUGCAACUUCUAUCAAAAGGUAUCUACUAUUUUGUUUCGGUAUUAGUGUAUGGAUCAUAAUUUCUUCCUGGUCAGGAUUAUAUUAGUUUGGAGAGAGGAAGUUACAGUAGUUUCGCAAAAAUUUUAGGAAACAGAAUAAUUGACAGAUUGUUAUACGUGAUAAAUGUACUUGUAUAUAUGUAUGUGUCUAUAUGGAGAAGAAUGUGAACAUCAUGUAAAUAUAAAGGUUAAUCUAAACUAAGUUUAUUAAAAGAUCUAUGAACAACAUGCACAAUCAAGCAAACAGAUGUAUGUGCAGGCAAAUUGCACCCUUCAAAAUGUAGGUGCAUGUCUGUGUUUUUUUUUACCUCCCCUCUUCAAAUUUCUGAUAUGCAUGUCUGUUUUCUGAUAAGCCAGUAAAUAAAAUUUCAUACUUCAAAGUUUUUUUUAGUUAACAUUUAUUUCAGAAGCAGAACCUAAUUAUAGGAUCAGGAAAAGGUUGCACAAAUUCAAGGAAUAAAAUAUCACAUCAAGAAAAUACACUUUACCCUAUUCAUAUUGUAAAGAGCUUCCACCAUGUCUGACGAUCUAUUACGUACUGCACCAGCCACCUGGUAACCCAAAAGAGUCAAUACGUUUAGAAGAUUAUUAAUACAUGCAGAGAUUUUAAUACUUCAUAACUUGAGAAAAGGAAAAGGAACCCCCAGUAUCCCACAUAACAUCCAUUUCAACAAAUCAAAUAGCAAAAUUCAUUUGUUCAAUAACUACAGAACUGGGGUAAAACAACAUAUAUCACAAAGAAACCUUCUCAAAAACAAAGCAAGUUCAGAAAACAAUAUAGGCAAACCUUUCUCCAGUCCUUCCCAUAUUUUCGAUAGGCUUCAUAGAAACGCUCAAGCUCUUCUUUGCUCCAUUGAGUGCCUAACAUGUCGGACAAUUUCCUCUUCUGCAUAGACAUAUUACCAGAAGUUUGAAAAAAUAAUAACAAGUGAUGUGCUAGUUCAGAUUACAGAAUAAAUCUGUACUACUAGUUCAGUUAUACAGACAAAAAUCAAAAACAUUGCAUAUGCACACUUCAUUGCAUUAAAUCAAAAUAACUUAGCUGCAAUGGCAUUAAUGCCCACAUAUAUCUAAAAAUCUAAGAGCAAGAGUCUGAUAGGCAUCCAUUUGAUAGUCUAUUUAUACAAUGAGUAAAUAUAAUACAAAGAUAAAGAUUAACUAUAAAAAUUUAUAGAGUAUAACACAAGGUCCGUUGUCUCAGUACCAGACCCUGUACCAAUGCUACACUAGCACAGUGUCGUACGAUACAAAAUGGAUUUUUUUUUUUGAGCAUACCGAGUGUCAGUACACCACCUAUAUUGGGUACCGGUAUCGGUACGGAAUACCUCUGUCUUAAUCGGUAAAGACAAACCCAAAUACUCAUAUUAUGUCUGUUUCAGCAGAACCAAACAUUUUCAGUGCAUCCCCAAUCUUCUUGGAAGAUUUCAAAAGCAACCCAAACACUUAUUUUAUGUACUAAUUAGCAGCAGCAGCAUUCAGUGCAUCCCAAAUCUCCUUUGAUGAUUUCAAAAGCAUACAACUGGAAUUAUCAUAGGUGACAUCCUGCUCUAUAACCAUGUCAUAAUCCAUCCAUCCAUGAGAGAGAUGAAAAAUUGAGCUAACACCAGCGUCUCACCUGACCAACAAAAUAGAAUUUGCGAGAGAAGAAGCUAUGAAGUUUGCCAAGGCCACAUAUACUUACGCGUGUCUUACUUUUGUUCGCAAUUGUCGCAUCUUUAUCCAGCCACUCAUCAUUCACUUUCGCAAAGCGCUUGUUCACAUUUCUCGAUUUCCUUGUUGAAGCCAUUGAAACAUCUAUGUCCCUCCUGAACAAGAUGAAUGGGCAGAGUUUACCAUUGAAUAAAUCUCAAUCUAUCACAAAGGCCCAAGAGAAAUGAAGGGAACCAUAAGAAAAAAGGAUAAUUCAUGUGGUGAUGAUUAAAAGUCCAGUAUAGCCUCAGAAAGAUAUGCAAUUCAAGUAAAUAUAAAGACAAGCUAGUGAAUUAAUAAUUGCAUUCUAAUAGUUAACACUAUAGGUUGCCUCAAAUUAAUGACAAUCAUAAGAACAACCUUCAGAGAAGACUGAUCAGGCAAUCAUUGAUAAUUGAAUAAUAACAAAACUUGAUCAUUACCGAAUGGACCAAGCUUUAAAAACUCGGUUUCUGUUUCAGAGGCCAAGCCUGUGGAGUUAUUGUGUUGGCAGUUUUGGUCAUUUCUGCAGUUGCUCUCAAAGUAUCAGAGUUUGUCAAAAAAAAAAAAUCAAAAACAAAUCUGAAAAGUUUGAAAAGUACAAGAAAAAUAAAAGCCAGAAAAGUUAUUACACAAAUUUUAGAAUAUUUUACGUUACACAAUUCUUUAUGGGUGUUAUAUUGGCAAUUCUAUGCUGAAGUUGAUGUUGUACAUAAUAAAAUUCAUUGAGCAGGCAAGUCAUGGACUGCGAUAUCGUCCAUACAAUGCGUGCCAUACCGCACUAGGUGAGAAUUGGUACAAAAUCAAGUUCAGGUAGGUGAAAACACCAUCCCGUCCCAUACUAAGGUGUAUCGAGGCAUAUCAAAGUGUAUUGAGAUUGUACCGAGGUGUGUACCGAGAUGUACCAACCCGCACCAAGGCAAUAUUUAAAACAACAUGUAGGUAAAAUAAUCAUAGUAAUGCAUACUAUUUCAUGAUAACACAUAGCAACCAUCACGACAAGUUAUGCAAUUAUGUUGAAAGGAAAAUGGAACUGGGCAUAAAGAUGAGUAUCAUAAUGCCCAAGAGCCUACUGUCUUUAUCCAAAAGAAAUUAAACAAAACAGUAAUUUUAGAAAAUAAUUUUUGUAAAUGAAACUAGUCUUUAGAGCCACUUCCAAUUGUUAAUCAAAUCAGAAAAGUCCAAUGAGUUAAUGUUGAAUUACAGUACACCUUUUUUUCGGACAACUGUUAGGUGCUCUGAUUAGUCAAACCAGACUUCUUUUCCAAGAAACCGUUAGAUGCUCUGAUUUCUAAAAAUUACUCCAGAAAUAAAAGUAAUUUAGCAUUAUUCUGAACCAUAUCCCACUAAGUUGAAAUUUCUAAGCGAUAAUCUUUUCAUAAGAACAGUGAAGGGAAAUUUGGUGUUAGACUACAGGCAUAUGAUAUUGAGAUUACAGAUUAUUAUUAGAAAUGGUAAGAAAAAUUAUUGAAGCUUAAUGAACUUUUGAAUUCAGGAACAUUUUCCCCUAAGAUGGUGUUGGUUCAGUCCCCUCCUAUAUUACUACUAUCUUUCAAAUCAAAACUUCAAAAAUUAAAGCUUCUACAGCUAUAAUCACUGUUCUCCAGCAAUGCAAUAUGAAGUACUCAAUUUUUAAGGAAAUCUGAAUGGAAACCUUUUUGUCAAGACCGGGUUCAACCGUCAAAAAAGGAGAAUUCCAUACCACAUCCGGACUAAAGCAAGCUAGAGAAGGCUGAGAAGAUCAUAGAUGAUUUCAAGGUCAAAAUAGAACAGCUAAGGGCUGAUGAAUCUCAGCUGCAGAUCAAAAUGAUGAUCUAAAAAAUAUCAAAUGGAAGCAGUCAUUCUGCAGCUGAUCUGAACAAAGAAAUUGGAGCUGGAAAGAAAAGAAUAUAGUAACCUCGCAGCAGGCUGAGGCUAAUACUAACAAAAAAACGAAAUUGAGCUGGAACAGCUAAGGAAAGAAAAUUCCAUGCUGGAGAAAAAUAGUUAUAACCCGCACAACCAAGAUACCGAUCUGGAGAGAAGACUGCAAAAACAAGAGGCAAAUUGUCACCUCUCCGGCAAAAGUUUGAAUAAGUAUAAAUUGCAGGUUGGUUUUAAUUUUCUUUCAGAAUACUUGCUGUAGUAGGUAGCAAUUCCAUGAAAAUAUCAGUUGGUUGAAACUUGGGACUGACUGGGAUGACCCUAAAAAAAUUAUUCUAAGAUUUUGAUUUCUGCAACCUAUCAAUAACAUCUCUCACAAAUCCAAAGUCCUCAGUAAUAACAAAUUGCUUAUCUCAUCAUCCUUCGUGGUCCUAUGAUUUGCGCCCAUACGAUGCAAUUUCAAAUAUUUUUUUUGCUCAAGCAGUAAGCUGCUACAUCUGAUAUACCUGCAUUUCCAUUCACAUGAAGCCAGCGAUAUUUUUCACUUGUUAGUCAGGUUGUGUCUACUUUGUGUACAUAACAGAAUGCAUUCUAUCAUGCUUGGACAGAUCUAGCCUGCUAAGUGAUACUGGGAAGGGGUAAUUAAUCAUUAUGAUAUAUAACGUUUUCAAACCUCGGAAGAGCAGAAACUCCAAUACUCAAUUCAAGAGAGCUUAGCGCCUAGAAACAUGUAGCCUGCUCAUGUUUCAGAGGAGAUAGUUUAUCUAGCAGAAGGAUUUUGAACUGUGGCAUAAAUUUUAAAAGAAAAGCAAGAAGAACACCCACAGUCAAGUCCAUUGUUAGCAGGUAGAAAAAUUCAAGUUCAUGAAUAGUUGCUCAAGAAAAGUUUAAAAAAUCAAGGAUAUUCUAACAGAGAAAACAGAUGCAGAAUACUAGCAUUAUUGUGCAGCAAGGAAUCAAAGAUAAGUGAAAUCGUUUAACCAAUGAGAAAUUUGCAAGGGGCUGCAGAUUUCAGAGGUCAACAACUUCUAAGGUUUUAAAAAAACCAAAACGAAAGAAGCAGAAAUAAGCAAACAUGACAAAUCCAACACGAGAUCAACCAGAUAAAAACAAGAUCAGAGCAAAUCUAGGUAUAUGUAUACAGAUCCGAGCAUGAAACAGGGUAUCUGGCUUGAAUGGGAUUAGGGUUAGGGUGAGGGUUAGAGAUCCGGCCAAAUCAUGGGCAAUCUUCAUGGAUUCGAGCAUCAUAACCUUGCCGGAAUCGAGAUUCCAGUGGAAGAGAAAGCUGUAGCGGGAGAUUAAGACGGUAGCAAACAAGAGCGAAAAAAAAAUUUUGCGUGGGAGGAGGGCGGAGUGAAGAGGAGAGGAGAGGACUUACCGAGGUCGGCGUCUUCGAGCCUCCUCCUAAAGGGAAGGGUAGGCAGUAGAAUCGCCGCCCGUCAGUGUGCGGGAGCCGUCCGCCUUUUGGUGCCGAGGCUCUCGUCCGUCCGGGGGGAGGAGGGGAGGAUGGCUAUCGCCCCGCUCUUUUUCUCGAGCGAACUGGGGAGGGGUGGCGUGUCUCGAAUCCAUCGGCACUUGGCACGCAGAUGGACGCGAGUCCGAUUUGCUGAGCUGGCGGUUUCUUCUCUUUUUUUGAAUUUCUUUUAAAAUUUUUCAUUCCUAGCGUGCCCAUCAACCCCGCCAAGACAGAUCCGUAAGUACCAAUCGUGCAACGCCCGGCCGACUUUGACCGUGGGCCUGGGCCGUCUCCUCCUCAAGCUUGACUCUUUUUUUUUUUUCUCUUCUUUUUUUUACCAAAGAAGAUGGCCUAUACACAUCUAGUAUUAAUGAACCCAAAAUAGUUAAAAAAUAGCAAAUCUCAAAGUACUCUUGGUAUCUUCUCUUUUUUUUUCAACCCACAAAGCUCCAAAGUGGUCGGCCACAUACGAAGUCAUCCAAUCCUAGCUCCACCGCUAGUCAAGUUCAUUUAGUUUGGGAACUAGACUUAGUAGGAAUCGAGAUUGGACAAAAGGCUUAAAUCCAACUUAUGGAAUACCCAAUGUAACCUCUUUCUAUUUCACUAUUCAUCCUUCUUUGGUUUAGCUCGACUUUUCUUGUUUCUAUCUAAAGUGAAAGGACUUCUUUAUGAUUUCGAGUUGACCUUGUGGUAUUCUGUUUUAAAAUCUCACGCAUUGUAACAUCAAGGCAUCUCAAUUAAUGGACCUAGGACUAGAGCAAUCCAUAUGAAUGCAAAAGAGAAAACCUCGAGAGAAGACUAAUUUUGUAAUUAGCUCUAAUGCCAAUAAUAUUCAUCGCUUUAACUGGGUCGUUACUAAAUUUAUUUUUUUAACGUACUGUUGCUGGAUUGAUUGCUACAAAACUGUCGUGACGUUAAAAAGAUAAUGACGUAGGAAAAAAUUUUUUGCCAUAAAUCGGAGGGUACGUAAGAAGGUGGACUCCAUCAUCGCCAACUGAGCCACCGGCAGCCAUGAAUGCUGCCUGCGCCUCUUUCCAUGCUCGGGCGACGACAGCAGCAGCAUUCAACUGCAGCACUGUGCUGCUUCUUGUUGAGAAUCGGGGUUCGAUCCAGUUCGCGGAGCGAGCGAAGGCGGAACUGACGUUCUUGCCAUCCGUGCCGCCAACGUCGUGGAAGCGGACGGAGAGGAAAGGGCACACACGGCAGUGCUGUCGUCGGUGCCGAUGACGUCCAAGGGACUGAAAGGGACGGAGGGUUAUAUGGCGUCUUCUCUUUCCCGUUGGCGAGCUUCUCGUUGAGGUUGCUUGGGUUCGGGUCGUUCUUCCGUUUUCUCUUUAGUUUGGUGUUUUGGAAGGUAAAUGUUAUCGUUUUGUUUUCUUGAGAGGAUGAUGGAUGUACGUUUUGUUCAUAUAAUGGUUUGGGAUUUUUAUUCUCCCUCAAAAAAAUUUAAAUAAAAAAUGUAAGCAGAGAAUUAGGUCCUGUUAUGAAUUCUAUUUCUACAGAUUAUUGCCAUCUAAAGUUUUGAUCCUGAGAUUAGAUGUGUUUUUCACUGGACUUGGGUAAUAAUGUGAUGCUAUGUAAAUUUUGAGUUUGUUCUUGUUUGCACAUCUCUAGGCAGAAUCCAACACUAUGGAAAAAAGUCGGUUCAUCGACGCUUUUCACAAGCAUCCGCAAUUUUCGGUCUAGCGUCAUAAUUUGCUGACAUUUUUAAAAGGCAUCGUCAAAAGACGACGCUAAUAAAUAUCGCCGUACUUCCGGACCUAAGAUGACACUUUCAGAUAGCAUCGGCAAAAACUUUGACCACUCCUAUAUUACCGACGCUUCUGCGACGUUUUGUUUAGCGUGGGUAGAACUUUAACCGACACUUAUAAGCGUCGGUAAAAAUUGUAAAAAACGCCAAAAAGAUGUAUUUUUCUGUAGUACAAUAACAUUCUGUUUGUUGCUAUAUAAGCGCCGGAAAAAGUUAUAAAAAAACGUUAGAAAAAGUGUAUUUUUCUUGUAGUGUAAUAAUAUUCCUGUUUGUUGCUUCUGCUAUUUGUUUUUUCUUUUUUAUUUAUAGUUCAUAUCCUCUCAUGCAAAGAUCACAGUUGAUACAAAAUGCUUUUACCAGAAGCAAUAUGUUUUAAUUGAGUGAUUCAUAAGCGCCAUGUCCAUCCCCAUGCAGCCACUGAAGGUUAGAAAAUAUCAGCACGUAUUGCAUUAUGUUUUUGCUUUUCAAUAUCAUUUACUUUCCUCCUUAUUUUCAAUGUAUGUCUUGGAGGUCGUUAGGUGUGGAUUCUUCAUCACAAGGGAAGGAAUGAUAAGACUGAGAGGGAGGUAAAAAUCUUACUGAAGCCAAACAAGCCUGAAAGAAAUGUGUUUAUACGAGGAUUCUAGUUAUAACCUCUUUAUUUUCUGAGUGUUCGAGUAAAACAUUCGUAAUAUAUUCCCUUUUAAGUAGUGCAAGUAUGGAUCUAGUGUUAUGGUUUUUUAUGUUUUAAGUAUUUGCUCGAGAUAAGUUGACGAGUAUGGGCAUUUGUGUCUUGAACGCACUAUGAAGAGAACAACUUAGACCAAUUUGCCAUUCUGAAAAAAGAUAGUUAAAAUAUUUGAUCUUCAAAAAUCCACUUGGAAACUUUAUAAACUCCUUUAUAACAAAUCAGCAAGAUAAUUUAUUGGGCAGGAUUAGCUAUCCCUCAUAAGAUUUCCAUAUGAUUAUGUAUGUUUUUGGUACAAGAUCAUUUAUAUCUGGUGUAUAAAAUAACUAGUGCUUGACAUGCAGUGGCACAACAAUAUACAAAAAAUAUAUAUGUGUGCGCACACACGCACUUGUAAGGAUUUAUGCAGGUGAGUGUUUAGUCUCACAUCGGUUUUUAUUGUGUGGAUCUUGGGUACGUAUAUAGGAUCAAAAAAUUUAAAUAAUACCUUCCGGCUAUGCAUUUUGGGUAAGGUCCUGGCUUAUUACAAAAUGGUAUCGGAGCAGAUAUGGCCUAUAACCUAUGUAGACUAAGGGACACUACAGCACGGAUCCAUUGGGAUUGUUAUAGCAAGAUCAAUGCUUGCAUGUUCUGAAUAAAUGUUGUUUAUUAGACCAAGUAAUAUUUACAAGCUAGAGUUCAGAAUUAGAAGAAUUCGAGUAAAACAAAGGAGAUGUCGGCAUAUUGACAAGAGACUCCAUGAGAAAUUUUAUCAAUCUAGAUAGAGACCCAACCCCAUUGUUUCUUGGUUAUAUUGUUUUUUAUCCAAGUUUGCCAAAAUAAUGUGCAUUUUUUUAUAUUAAAGUAAAUGUAUAUAGAAACAAACAAGUGUUGUGUUAAUUAUAUUGCCACAUCCCUUGUAUGUUUCCUAAUGGCGCAAAUUAGUGCGAAGCACACUGCCGGCAUGGAGUUCCUUUUCCAAAAUAAAAACAAGUUAUGAGAGUGUAAUGUUGAACUUUUAAUGUGUUAAGAAUCUGUAGGCUCAAUUUUCACUGGUUAUUCUAACUUCAUUUCAUAGUUUAAAGUCUAGCUAACCACAAUCAGACGAAUCAAAACAUUAGAAAUAUAUAUUUUUUUCAAAAAAAUUGAGGCAGGAGCCUUUGUAUUUGAUAUUUGAAUCAAUUUUUUCUCUGUCGCUCUUGUGAGAAUGGUGCUUAGGCAUUUAGUUAUGCACCUUUCAAUGUGAUUUUCUAAAAUUACAUGAAUGCGGUCGUGCAUAUGAGACAUACAAGACCAUAUGCUGUCGCAUUUAUGAAUCAAUUUGUUUGCAAUAGCUAUAUCUCGAGCCUAUAUCAAGCCACAUACUAAGGAUCCAUGAUUUGAGAAAUUUGUGAGAAUGUUGAAACCGUAUUCUUCACUACUUGAUGCAUACCGAUGAUUAUGGUUUUUAUUUAACCAAAGGCUUAUAAUUUUCUCUUCAUGCCUAUUUCGACACCAAUUGGGCCAGUGAUUAUGAUAACCGGCAUUCUGUAGGUGGCUUUGAUAUUUUUUCCCUAAUCUUAUAUCCCAAAAUGCUAAAAAGCAAUGCAUUAUGGUUCAUUCAAGUACCAAAUCUGAAUAUAAAUAGUUGGCCAGUGUUACCGCUGAACUAAUUUGGAUUCAAUGUUUAUUAUAGAAGUUGGAUAUCUCACUUUCUCAACCCUCUAUAUUUUGGUGUGACAACUUAUCUGCCAUACAUCUCACUGCCAAUCCCAUGUUUCAUGCUUGAGCCAAGCAUAUUGAAAUUAAUUUUUAUUUCGUUCGAGAGAAAAUAAAUAUUAUACUAUAUUAUAUAUUCACGUCCAAUUCUUCUCCUCCAAUGACUAAUUGUUGAUAACCUCCCAACGCUUUCAAUAGUUGCAUUUCAAGCUCUCGACGAUACCCAUCUUAGCUUGUGGUGGGGGGAGGGUGUUGGCAGUGUCUCUAUCUUAACCCUAUAUUGAGCCACAUAUCAAGGUCUUAUGAUUUGAGAAAUUUUGAAUAGCAUAAAUUCAGAAUUGAUCAUGGAGAUCCAUUGAUUAUUUUUUUCUAUCUCUAUAGUACCCUAGUUGUAAUCUCUUGCGUAUUUUUAACUAUAAAUAUAUAUGAUAAUCACCUCAUAAUAGUGAGAUAGAAAAAGUUUUCCACAAUAUUUUUCUUUUUCACAUAUUCUUUCUUUUCCAUGCAAUUAAAGAUUUUCCUUUCUCCUCGGUUGGACUGUGUUAAAAGUGAAAAUGGUAACCAAUUGAAUAGACUUCUAAUCUUUUGUGGUUUCAUAUUGACUAAGGACAACAAAGCAAUAUGACCGUCCUUAUUGCACAUAUCGCUACAACACAAAAGAGGUUCAUAGCAUGCGGCACGUAAGCUUCUAUGGUUAAAUCUCAACAAAACCACAAAAAUGCAUAAUUAUUAGGAAUGCACAAAUUUUUCUCAAGCCCACUAAUAUUACUCAACCAUUGUUCCUGUGCAGCACUAAUUUCCAUAAGCGACAACAAUCUUUCUUUAUCAUUAAAAAUUAUAUCCUACACCGUAUGUACCAUAUGGUCAUACAUCACGCCAAUCACCUUCUUUUUAUUGUAGGUCGGUCAUUAAGAUGAGCACGUGGUGAAUCGAGCCCAUAAGAAAAAAGAUAAGGUGAUUAGCAUGGUGCACAACGAUGUUAGUGCAUGCAGUGUAGAAUAUAAUUUCUUCAUUAUUAUACCAUAUUAAUUCUCGUCAUAGGUACCAACCUCUAUAUAUCUCAUGAUGGGAUGAAGUGUUGCAUGCAUGAAACUAGUGCCUUGCAGCAUCACUCAUUUGGAUGCAAUCCUUUCGGAAUAAAAAAAAAAAUCAAAAAUAGGCAGUAUUCUAGCGCGCGCAAAAAAAAAUGAAGAAGAAGAUGUCACUUGUUGGUCCCUUGCCAUGAUGGUCAUGGUAGCAUCACUCAUACUUGUUAGUUUCUUUUACCUUCCAAAAUCGAGAAUUAAUUCUGUUUUAUAGUACAAUUCAUGUGUUAAGGCCCUAUUCGGUAGAGCUACUAGCAGUAGAGCUUUCGGAAGUAAAGAUUUUAUAAAAAAAUAUUUGCUGUUUGGUAACUAUAUUUCUAAAAUAUUGUGAAACUUUAAUACGUGUUUGGUAAUAAAUUGAAAAAGUAAUUUUGGUAUGACAAAAUGACCAAAAAGACAUUGCAUAGUAUUAUACAACAAAGCAUAAUAAAAUAUAAUAUUUAUUAAUACAUAAAUAUAUAAUAUAAUAUAAUAUUACUGUAAUGUAAUAUAAUAUUAUUAUAUAUAGUAAUAUAAUAUUGUAUACUAUAGCGUAAUAACAUAACAUAAUAUUAAAUUAUUUAAUGUAACAUAUCAAUAUAUUAUGAUAUAAUGUAAUAUAAUAUUAUAUUUAUAGUAUAAUAUAAUAAUAAAGGUAUAAAAUAUUAUAAUUAGGUUUUUUUUAACUUUUGCAUAUUUUCAUAAUUAUAAAAGGAUAUUUUUGUAAUUAUAAUAUUUAUUAUAACUAUUUUGGUCAAAAAAAAUUUAUAACUCAAGAUAGUUUUUCAAUGGAAACUAAAAGUAUUUUUUGUUCAAAAAUCAAAGUUAAAAUAGUGUUUUGAUUUUUUACCAGAUUACUUCGAUUCUACCUUAUAAAAAAAAGAAAAAAGGAAAAACCCUAAAACACCCACCGUCCUCUUCGACAAUAUAACGGCGUCUAUCAAAGCUUGAUUUAAACCUCCCUCCCCCUCUCGCACUAAUUUUCUUUCCCCAUCCCAAAAUCUUAUUUUUCCCGCGCAUACAAAUUCUCUUCCAAAUCCCAAAAGUUUUCUUUUCCCCUUUGUAUGUAACUCUCCGCUUCUCCCUCUCGAAACCCUCUCUCCCUCUCUCAAGAUUCCGAUGGAUGACUUCUCGGCUCCCUCCUUCUCCCUCGGACUCGAUCUCGACCUCGCCGAUCUCCCCACCGAAGGCGAGGAAGACAAAGAAGAGGAACAACGAGAGCUUCCUCUCCCAACGCCGACGCAGGCAAGAGGAUCUCCAACCUUUGAUCUCCUCAGCGACGAAGAAUUCGAAGAAGAUCUUGGCCUACGAGAAACCCUAACUCCGAAUCCUGACCAAGAUCCUCCUCCUCCUCCUCCGGCCCUCAAGCGUUUGAGAAGAGGCCCUCCUGCUCCUCCUCCUCCGGCCCUAAAGCGAUUGAGAAGAGGCCCUUCUCCUCCUCCUCCUCCUCGGCCUCCUUCGCCAGCUGCUCCUUGUCCUCCAUGCGAUGGCGGCGGCGGAGGGAACCGUGGACCCACGAUCUUCACCGACGUCGAUGAUGAGAUCGAGGAGUUCUCGCCGCAAGAGGAGCGCCGGCAUAGCCAAGGUAAAUGGUGCCCUAUUGCAAGAAACUGUUCCUUAGGGUGCAAAUGCCUUUGAUCAUCUUGGUUUGUUCUUCCGUUUGUCUAUAUUUCAGAGAAGGAUGCACAGAAGGCUCGAUUUUUGUAUGUUGGGCUCUCAGACCCAGUAUAAAUUAAAAGUUACAAUUUUCCCAUCAAAUGAUGAUUCUAGGGUAACUAAUAGGGAUGAAGGUAUUCAGUAUUUCAAGAAUAUCUAUUAUUCUGGGUUCAACGUCGGUUGUAGUAAUAUACCUCUGUGUGUUGUUUUUUGAUUCAGUGUAGUUGGAGGUAUAGUUCAUGAUGCCCGUGCUAAUUUGCUUAAAGGAACAUAAGUUCCUUCUUAUCAGAAAUCAUACUUUCAAGUAAUUUUGGAUUUUCUGGCUUCACUAAUUAUUUGUUAAUAUUGGUAGAGGUAGUAAAAUAUGCAUUUUUAUGUUUUAGGAUUUCAACUGGUGAUCCCAGAAUUUCUAAUCGUAAACCACUAAUUAGUUUGAUAAAAUGGUAAUAAAAAUGUAAACCAUUCUGUUCAGACUUAUGAGUAUGUAGUAAAUCUUAUUUGGUAAUGUUCUCAAAUAUCUAUUUGGUACUUGUAAGUGAAUUCUUGCUGAAUCUGAUUGCCCAAUGGACACAGUUUGUAAUGAAAUGAACUUUGGUGAACUGAGUAUUGAAAGGGGAUCAAGGUAAUCUUAAUGUGGAUCUUCUCCCUUCUGAUUCUUAAUCAUCAUAAGAUUUUCACUGUUUUAGUUGUAGGUGGAUGUUCAUCAGUACAAAGCUGCAAUACUUGUAGCAGUUCAAAGUUUCUUCUACAUAACCGUGGGAUCUUGACAAGUCAACAAACAAGCAAAUUGAAGACUCCAAAAAUCUCACCAGCUUCCGAUGCCUCAACAUCAACAAUAGUAGAGCAAAGCAGCAAUAAGAAAUUGUUCCCAAAAUUAACCAUCAGCCCCCUUAGGAAAAUUUAUUUACUGGAUUCAGAUUCAGAUGAUCCAUCUCGUGAAGAUGAAUAUGAAGAUGGAAAAGAAGUUGAUAAAUCUCAAGAAAGGAGACAAGCUACUACCAUGACCAGGAAUAGGCAGGAAAAGUCAUCAUUGCAAGCCAAUAAAGUCCAUGGGGAAAGUUUUUGGAAGGACUUGAGCUGUAAGAAGAACAUGAACUUGGCAACACCUGCUUUAGAUGAGAUCUGUGAAGAGUAUUUCAGGUCAAUGAAGGAUCAAAAUUCAGUUCAGUCUAAGGAAGAGAAUAUGAAUUUUUGCAGUUCCAGAAUUCCUGAUCCAGACAAUUUUGUUGAAGACUUUGAAGAUCAUCAUCACCAGAAACACAUCAAUGGAAGAACUCAGCAAAAUAGGAACUUGCCCAAUUCUCAACCUCCUGCAUAUCAGUACUUCUACCAUAGCGAUGCAAGUAUCCGAACAUUAGUUCAGAAACGGUUGCCAUUCUUUAAUCCUCUAGGUGCAGAAAAAUAUAGAGGAAAUCAGGAGUCUGGAGCAGAAAAUUUUGAUUAUAUGUAAGACAUAUUAUACCACAUGCCUUGUGACUUUUCUUUCUUUCAUUCAUUCUUUUUUUAUAAUGAAAUUCGCAAGCUUUUUAACACUGUCUUUUUGUUAUUUCAGGGGUCAAUUUGGCUCCAGAGAUGUUCCCAGGCAAGCCCGCAGAUCUUGUGAGGGGCGUUCUGAAGUAAGCUCAAAAAGCAGAAGAAAACCAAACAGUGAUAAUCUUAAGGAGGCCUCACAUGCGAAUGGAAGUUGGGUGAACCCUAGAAGCUGUGCUAACAUUCCAAAAGAUGCUGCAAAAAGGCGAGUUCGUGCUGAUGGCCGUCAAUCUGGUCAUUGGUUUACUAGCGAGGAUGGAAGAAAGGUAACAGAAAAGUUACAUUCUGCCAAAUUUUGUUGUGUGGAGCAGCUAAAAAAUUUCUUAACUUUCAUGUUUGUUUUUUCUCUUGAGAAAUUUUAGUGGUUCCUUUUUAUUUCUAAAAUUCUUUCAUGCCUUUCUGUGUCAGUCAUGCUUGAUUAUGCCUCCCUUUAUGAUUGCUAAUAGGUUUCUUUUCUUUGAACUUCUUUGGUUUUUUUUCUUGCAGGUUUAUGUCGCUAAAAAUGGUGAGGAACUGACAGGUCAAAUUGCCUAUAAACAAUACAAGAAGGUGAGAUGUCCAUUUUUGAUUAACAUGACUAAUUAUUCUCAUAUUUCUUUAUUUGGAUUUUUGUAAGUAAUGCAAAUAUUGUAUUAUCCCUGUUCUCAUAUCUGGCUGGGUUUAGAUUUAGCUUUCCUAAUUCUUACUUCUUGAUGAAGUACCUGAAUGAAUUUUAUCAUCAUUUCUGUAUUAUUUCGAUAGAUCAUUUAUGCAUGUGUUGAAAAGAGAUAUGUUUUCAACGUCGUACACCAUAUUAUCGUGCAAAUGAACCUUAGGGCUUUACUGGAUGGAUGUCUGUUUUGUAGAAUUGCAUGGAGUACUAUAGUAAGGAUUUAUUUGAAAUUUCAUUGUAAUUUGUGGGACUAUUAACUAGGUCAGUAUUAUGGUCUUAAAUAUGGCUAUGAUAGUAGCAGCGGCCUUGGCUCUAUGCACAUAUUUUUUGGCCACAUCAGUAGAUUCUGAAAUUAUGAGAACCUAAUUCCUACAUAUUAUUACUUGUAUAGUCUUUCGUGUGCAUGGAAUAUAGCCCAAUUAUUGUUUGAUAUGUAAACCAUAAUGUUCUUUUGGUAUAAACAUCUAUUUUCUCAUAAAAAAUGUUUUGCUGGACAUAAUUCACUCAUUUGACUAAAAAUAAACAGGCUGACUAUUGAAAUGCUCUUAAGAAAAAAAUGUUGGAUGAUUGUGAGCUUCUUAGUGAUCCACCUGCUUUUGUCAACUUUUUUGAAAAUUUUCCAGUCUGUCUGUGAUUCUUGCUAAACUCUUGCACCUUUUUCUGUUCUACCUACAAGGAACAAUUAACUGCACUAUCUGCUAAUACUCUUUAUAGAUUUAAGUUGCUUUGAUGCUGAUUGGGCUGGUGGCAUCUUGAAUUGCCACAUCAUUUUUAGCAAAUUUGCUUAUUUGUGAAUUAUCUCCCAAACAUAGUAACAAGUCUGAUUUUUGGGAAUUUUGUUAGAAGAAAAUAUUUGAAACCAGAAAAAUAUGUAAAAUUUGCUAGAAGUUUGGAAAGAAUUUGGACGGUUAGGAGUGAAAUUUUUUUUGACAAAAAUAAAGUAUGUAAGAUUACUGAAAUACUUGAAUAGCACAGGAGAGGCAAGAACAUUAACAAUAGCGAAAAUGUCGCUCUUGCCACCAACAUAUAGCACGUUUACUCUGUAAUUAUAAAAGUUUCUUACAUUAGUCAUGAAUUAUUUCUUAACUGUAUUGAACAAAUUGUUACAUCUAUAAAAGAUUUGUAAAAAUAAAUAAUCCUAAAUUAGUUUGCCUAUCUAGAUUAGCUCAGAGAAUCAUUUGGCCAAGGAAAAAAUUCAGCAUUUUGCUGUAGCAUGGAGCAUAUGCUCGUGAUAGGAUGUUUUGCACUUGACUUUUCAGUUGUAGCAUUGUGGCCUGCCUGGCCCUUAGUUUGUUGUUGUUUGAGUUUAUGGCUUACCGAAUCUAAUUGGAAUGGGCUUACCAAUUUCUACUUCUACUCCUCUGUGCUAUGACAAAUAAUAUGUUAUUGAGAUUGCUGGCAAUCCAGUGCUUCAUAAUUGCCCAAAUCACAUAUGGAUUGAUAGCUUAAUUGCUUGAGAACAAUAUUUAUGAGUAACUCAUUUCCCCACAUCUCAUACAAUGUACCCUGCUGACUUUGUCAAUAUUCUCAUUCUAAGCAGUGUUACUUCCUCCUCGUUCUAUCUGUCUGAUUUAUUGGGUUUGAAGGUGGUGUUGGUGCUAGUGUAUGGAUGUUCCAUAGAUUGUAUGUUCACAUGCUAUCAUUGCAUUCUUUAUCCUUUAUCCUUGUAAUAUGAGGUUUUCAAAAUAUCAGGCUACUGGCCUAAUUAUGGAUUAAUGUGCAUAAUCUUGUAAGGUAGGAUCAAGCCAGAAAUUGUAGAAGGGGUCAUAUUGGAUCAAAUGUGGAUCAAAUAGCAGAUUGUAGGGUCCUUUCUGUUCUAUUUAGAACAAUAAAAUUGUGAGAAUUGAAUAAUAUCAAAAUACAACUAAAUUUUAGAUUAGAUGAUUGAUUUUUUUUUAAAUUCACAUUUAAAUGUAAGAAAUCUUGUUUGCAUUAUGAAAUGCUUAUGCUCUAUGAUAUAGACACCAUAUCUAGUUGUUCAACAUCUAUAUACCACCAUGUAAGCUCAUAUGCUUUUCUAAUUUGUCCAGAAAAGUAUGAUGACCUGGGUCUGUAGAAUGAAUAAAAAAAAGCUAAAUUGUUAUAUGAUCAUCAUCGUCAUCGUUAGAACUAACAAGGUAGAACCAUUUCCUUUCCCUUUUCUUCUGUAGGAAGAAAUAUAAAUUCCUCUUUCUUUUAAAAAAUAGCUAUAGUUCAUUAUCUGGAUAUUCUAAUAGCUCUCUUAACACAGGUAAGCCCUAAAAUGGCCAGAUAAAGUUUUACUUAUAGUCCUGACAACUUAAUUUAUAGACCUAAUUAAGAAAAGGGAUGCAGUUAAUUUCUUAUCUGAAUUAUCAGAGUGAGAGACACUUAAACCUUAAAACAAAGUCUUGAAUUCAGAAUUCAUCACAAGACUGAAAACAACAUCCAUAAGACUCACAAAUAGCACCUAAAAUUGGCAGUUUUACCUGGAUGCUUGGCACCCAUGGCAAGUGUUCAAGUGUCCCCACAUGUUGGAUAUAUCUGCCUCUGAAACACAGGCACAGAAACAGGAACAUGACAUGUACAUAAUAUACAUGCAUGCAUGCAUACACAUAUGUAAGUAUUUAUGUAUAUGUAUAUGUUGUACACAGAUAUGUAUAGACGCAAUACAUGCAUAUGCACAAAUACAACACAUAAAUACAUGCACACAUGAUGUUAAGAUAUCUUGUGUGUAUUUUAGAUAAGUGAGUUAUUUUAAGUUAUUCGCUUAAGUAUGUUUAAGAUUAGAUUGUGGUAAGUUAAUAAAUAGUCGUGAUAACUUUGUAUUAAAAACUUUAGUAAUGCUUUGGUGUCAAACACUAAACUAGAGUUUUUUGCAUGACACUCCAAAGAAAAAUGAAGUGUUGGAUGCUUCUUGCUGAUUUUAGUAGUCUAGCUGUGUCAUGCUAUAUCAUAUUGUAUCCAAGUGCCCAAAAGUGUCGAUGCUUCUAAAAACCUUAAAAAUGAAGUGUGCAGUUAAAUUAGAAAAUUGGGGCCUUGUCAUUCAUUUUCUCUCUCUCUCUCUCUCUCUCUCUCUCUCUCUCUCUNNNNNNNNNNNNNNNNNNNNUUCUAUUUCUUCUCUCUCUCUCUCUCUCUCUCUCUCUCUCUAUGUGUGUGUGUGUGUGUUGACACUGGCUCACAAAACUCAAAUAAUUUUAUAGGGUUAAUAUCUUGGACUAAUGCUUCAAACAAAUGCAACAUUUUAGGGCUUUAGAGAUCAUAAUAUCUCAACAAUGACCUAGAAGUUUCACUGGGUUGCAAUUGUGGGAACCAUUAGAUGUGACCAUGGUGAAACCAAUGUUACUUAGUAUUUUGUGCUAAGGUUGGCCAUGAAAUUAUUGAGCUGGAGAAAUACAGGUACAGUAACUUUUUAUGGGUGAACUCUUGUAGAAAUUUGGACUUUAGGUAUUUUCAGAGCAAAGAAGUAUUUUUACAUCAUGCUGGUUGAUCACCAAAAAUAAGUUCGCUACAACGUGUAGGUUGCAAUUGGCAAUGCUAUUAUAAAUUUGAACGCAAUUAAUAUUUAAUUUGAAGUUAUUUUCUUUUCCAAACAUGAGAAUAGAAAUUCCAGCUCCAAUGCUGAUUGACAUGGCCUCGUAAUAACUUUGCUCUCUCUAUACUAGAUCAGCCGUGCAAAUUAUCUCAAUGUAUUCCUAGUCACCGAAAUCCAUUAUCUAGCUGACAAGGGGCAAUGUGGAAGGGCUCCAGCGUCGAGAGAUUCAUUUAUCACCUAAUGCAGAGAUUAUAGGUUCCACAUCCUAGCUGAUUUACCUUAGUCCCUGGAAAUUACUGAUUCCUUGUCCCAAGUUCUCCCCAAGAUUUUCUUAAACUCCUCUAUUCCAAUGCUCAUCCUCAACAUAAACUCAUGCUAAUGGUACCUUAUUACAUCGGCAAGGUUUUCUGGCAUCCAAACAGACCCUAAGGUCAAGGGUUUCUCGGACAAGAUUUUUGUUUGUUCUCUAGAACAUGCAAAAAGAAAACAGCAGUAGACAAUCUUUCAUAAUGGAGCUUAUAAAUGAGUGAAAUUUCUUAAUAACACCAAAUAUUUGCUUAUGUGGCUCGUGAGAGUGGGCAAAUAAGCGAAUUCUAGUCAUCUUUGCUGAUGAGUUUCUGCUUUGACUGGUUUUUUGAGAGAAGUUUCUGGCUAUAGUCCAGAGGUUGGUUGUUUGUACUGCCUACAGACUUGUUACCCAUGGCAAUCUUCUACAAAUUAUUUGCGCAACAGUUUUGACAGAUUGAAAUGACAGCUAGUUAUAGAUGGAUGAACCUCUGACAAAAACUAUUGUCUGUUACAGGAGAGCGGUCUUGGGUUCCGAAACUCAAGAAAGAAAGGUGCUGUUAAGAAGAAAAAAGGGGACGUUGGACGAGUCAGACGUGGAAAAUGAGUUGGUUUCUUCUGGAUAAUGUUGACAGAAUUGUGCUAAUGAUGUUGUAUGAUGUAAUGAAAAUACCGAGUGUUCAGUGUAUUCAAGUCCAUGCUGCGGCUACAACAGAAUUGGGCGCGAGCUUUAGUACAUCCAAGUAGUUAAAUUUAUGGGGAAAAUGUGUCACUAUCAUUCUCACCUAACAUGUUUUUUCUUUCAACUUGAAAACUCUGCAGGUUAACGAUUAUCUGAAAUGUUUAACACAAAUUAAAUGCUAUUUUGGAAAUUAAUUUUGUCAGAUGCUAAUCGGAGAGUAGGGCUGAAAUUGAUUGCUACGGAUUGGAUGUAAGUCUAUUCAUAUUUGUAUUCAUAUUUUUUUCAAUGAAUACAAAAAUUGGUAUUAAAAUUUGUUCGGUAUGAAUACAAAUUGGAUAUUAUGCUAUGCUUGUUUAAAAUUCAAAUAUGGAUAUAUGUCAUAUUAUUGGGAUAUAAAUUAGAUUUUUAAGUGAAAUUCAAUUAUGAAAUGCUUACAUAUUCAUAAAAGAUGAGAAUAAAGUUUACCAUCUAGAAUGCAUGUGAUGCAUAAGUAGCUAAGUAAUAGUAUAGCGCAUAGUUAUUAAAUCCACAUGGAGAUUAAUUUGGUCAAGGGUCUAGAUAAUUGGUCUAACAGGGUUUUAAUUAUAGUAUAAAUAAAAAAUAAUCAUGCUCUAUUUGUUUAGAGAACUUCUAAGAGAAAAUUUAUAUAAAUGUAGGAUUACAUUACGGUUUUCAAGUUGUCUAUAUAAAUUAGAAGCAUGAUAAUUGUGUGUAUAUGGGAAUGUGAUCAUUUUGAAUAAAUCUCAUUUAUCAUGAAGAAAGCAAAACGCUUCAAACUAUGCUUGAGAGUUUGUCUAAGACUACAAGGGUUCGCAUGUACAUUUUAAACCAAAUGAUAGGGUUCGCAUCCAAGGUUUGGGUCAAGUCUGGGUUUGGAUAGGAUAGGGUUAGGACAGGUAUGGCUGGAUCAGGACUGGGUCUAGGUUUCAAACAGGUAAAUAUUAUUUGGAAUGCGCUUCCAAAUCAGUAAGUGAGCUUAGGGAUAUAGUUAAAUAGGUUUUAUAAGAGAUGUGCGGAUGUAAAGUUGCAAAGCUUUUAUAAUGACCAGUAUGAUUUCGGUUGGAUAAACUAUCCGGCAAAUCUUAUGAUCCUGCCUUCGGAUCCAUACCCGAUCCAAGGGCCUUUGGGUCUAGAUCCGGUCUGAGUCUGAGUAUGGGUAGGGUUUAGAUCGGUUAUGGGGCUGCAAGAAUUAGUGACACUUCUAAUAACGCGGGAGGGGCAUAUCUAGUAUCUACGAAGGAAAAUAUUCAAGCCGCGCACGGGGUGGGAGAUAGAGGGUGCAAACUGGAUUGGGUUAGCCUAUACCCUUUUGGAAGAGGAGGAGAGCUUAGGUCACAAAUUUUGGGCUAGAUUAGAAUUAGAUUGAGCUUGGGCUAGCGAUUUAUGAGCCUGAUAGUUCAAUUUGGCUUCACUCAAUGCGUGCAUUGCAUGGUUGCAGAGGAAAAUGACAGGAUUCAUGCCUUUGGUUUGUUACUAAAACCAGAGAUCUGGAGCUUUUGGUGUAUAAUUAAUCUUUCUUGAUGCAGGCAUAUAAUUAAUCUUGUAUGCUAUAAUGGGUGAGACUAUUUAAUUUGUAUAAUUUAAAUUCAUCCAAUUGCAAUUCGGAUAGCUCAGAUUCAUAAGUACUUUGCAUUCCUCUAUAAACUUUGUCUGGCCAAGUGGGCAGCCUGUCCAAGCUAGCAUUGGCUAGUCUGAUUUCAAAGUUAGGACUAUAAAAUAUGGUUUCUAGAGCCUUGGAUCGCAGGCACUUAAGAUCAGACCAUUCCUCUCAAAAUUAAGUCACUGUGGGGACUCCCAUCAGCUACUUAUCCGAUGAGCCGAACACCCACAGAACGCUCUUGCAGAGCCAGUAGAGUUCAGACGCCCAAUUACUUGCAACCAAAUAGACCCCUGUGGUAAUCCCUAUAUCACAAAUCCUUAUAAUAAUGCAAUUAAAAUUUUAAUGAAAACAUAUGACUGCUUCCAUGCGAGACAUAGGAAGAAUGUCAGAUGACAAGUUGAUGUAUAUUGGAUUAUGUUGUGUUAAGAAAUAGAAUUUACUUAUGCAAAAAAGCGAGCAAGCUUUGCUUUUUGUGGCACAAACUAUGAUGGAGAGAAGUAGAAAUUCGGUAUAUGAGUAAACUAAAGAACCUACACUAAGGAGUUGCAUGGCCGAGAAAACUUUCAAGUAUUUUUGGUUGGGAUUGUUUCAGAUUUCCGGCAGAAAACUUUGCUGAGUAACCGCCGAUACCUCGCUGAGCCGUUGUAUGGCCUAUAGAUCUUUUUCUCUUCCUCUUUAUCAGUCUUCUAGUCGUCAUCGCCACCUUUGUUCUUCUUCUCGUCCAACUGACCAAUGUUGCUGUGAGAUGUUGCCGCCGCCGCCGCCGAGAGGGUCACCACUAUGUGCGUGGGUGUGGUCGGCUUCCGCUCUUUUUGGAAGAGAACCAUGAAUUUCUCUCUCUCCCUCUUGCUUUCUCUCCUGCUCUCUCUUUCUUACUCUCUUUUUCUCUCUCUAGAUGCUUUAAUGGGCUUGAGAAAAGGACACCACCGCGUAGGGCGGUUGAACCUUGGAGGGAUCCCAGGCUAACCACGUGCUACUAGGGGCUCCGAGCUGGUAUUGCAUAACCGAAGAUCUCAGACAGACAUUGUACGACCAUUUAUUCAUCCAUUUGUAAUAUUUUAAUAUUAACUAUGUUUAUUUAUGAUUAACCUGAGAAUGAGAUCUAAUCUUGUACGAGAACAACUAUCUGGGCAAGAAGGCAUUGAAUAGAAUACCCAGCCUCCAAGUUCAAAGAUCAAGUGGAUCGGUAUCCAUUGUAAUUGAGUCUAAGAUUAGUAAAGAUAAAAAUUCCUACACACAAUCACCCAUAUGGAUAAUAUGCAUUUUGUAACAUGUGUCGAUGAUUGUGAAUUUUGCAUCAUUUGUCAAAUGAUUGUUGACUAAUUUCUUAUAUGAAUAUAUAAAAUUAUAAAUAUAUGUUUCUUUAUUGUAUGGGCGCAUCAAAUAUCAAUGAUUUGAAUUAUUUGGAAUAUAAUUUCGUUUAUUUGGAGUAUGAUGAUAAUUAUUUUGAAAUUUGGCAAGCAAUAUAAUAUAAAAUUAUAUUUUCUCUAAUUAGAAUGAAAUUGAAUAAUUUGAUUGUUGAGUAAAAAAAAUUGACUAACCAUGUUAUAGAUUACCGGUCAUGGGCUGAAUCAUGAUAUAUUGAUUUACCACCGCAGACCGAAGAGCGGAUAUUACGGUUUGCCACCACGGACCAAAGCAUAUAUAUUAUGGUUUGCCGCCAUGGAUCGAAGUAUGAAAUUAUGGUUUGCUAGUCAUCGAAUGAAGUAUCACCACGGAUAGUCCAAAUCAGAAAGAUAAUUGCUGAAUGAAAAUCUAUAUAAUAGUGAAAGAUAAGAUCUAACAAAAGUUUUAGACUAAUAAUAUAUAUAAAAUUUUUUCUUGAAGCAUUGUAUAUUAGAUGGUGUACAUUUAUAUAUACAUAUUUAUAUAAAUUUAUUUGAGCUAUGUCGAAUAAUCAGUAUGAAGUUUUAUGAUUUUCUUGCAUUUUGACAUGAUUUAUAGCUAAUAUCUAUUUUAACUUUACUUUAACUAUACUGAAGCGAAUAUGAAAAAUUAUUAUUAGAUUAUAAAGUUCAUACCACCUCUUCUUUUUUUUUUUUCUCUCGAUUAGAUUGGAUAUAAAGUUCGAGCAACGGUGUUAUUAAUGUAGAUAGUUUAUUUUUUGGUAUCAGAUGAAUGCUCAAAUUUUGUAAUUGAGUAAACUUUACUAUUUAAUAAUGAUGAAUUUAUUUAGUACAUUAUGGUUAAACUGUAUGAUUGAUUAUUCUAGUGUUAUUGCAUUAUCUUAUAAGUUUUACAUGAUUUCUAGAGCAUUGCUUUAAGGUUCAUGCAUCUAUGUCACGACCUAGAUGAUGAGUUUGGGGCGAGACCUUAAUACAUCCAAUAAAAAGUGGAUACAAGAGAAAAGAAGGCACCAUUCGUUGAAUGAUUAGCAUAAUCAAUCUAAAUGAUAAUAAAAUGACUAAAUUUAAGCUGAUUUGAUUAACCGAAGCAAUAAAAUUGCCAAAGAAAGCAUGCACAAGCUGUCCAGCUCUAUGUCGACCAACUAGCAAAUCCAAAUGAUGAACACACCCCAUACAUUAAACCAGCUAUCUUCAACAAGAGAUCUAUUAGUUCUUAUUUUUAUCUGCAUAUGGAAUAGGGUAAAAACUAAAACAAAAUAGACCAACCAUGUGGUAAUUAUACAGGACACACAAACGAUACAGAGAAUAGUGUUAGGUAUUUGGUAAUGAAUGAAGAAGAAAAAUGCCUUUACUAGGAAACGAGCAGGCCCUGAAACCACUCGUGGAACUUGGCCCCAGGAUAUUUGUAAAGAUUUGGAACCGUAUACUCUGAAAAAUAUCAUGUUAAUAUGACCAGAUAACCAAUCAUGACAAAAAAUUAGAGUACACCUUACGGUAAAAUGAACCAAGUCAAUCAGUAUGCAUGUUGUCUGGAGUACUAGAGUGAUCCGAGCCCCUGGUAUCUUCCAUUCUUGAUGGAGAACCCUUGUGCCUCAUUAUAUUUCUAAAGAAUCUGGUAAACAUCGAGAUAAACAUGGAAAGAAUACAUGAACAUGAAUAAAAGAUAAACACAGAGAAAAAAAAAUACUGAAAAAAAUUAUAAGAGCGAAAAAUGAUAAGUAUAUUAAAUACAGUUAGACAUUGGGGACAGAAUACAUACAUGUCCAAUUCUUCUGUCCUUUUUCUGAUUUCAUGGGACCAUAAUACUGGGUCUGCAUUCUUCGGCAACGAGUCCUGUUGCUGAGACAUCUCAUGUAGCCACUGUUCAGCUUUCGUGCAUUCAUUUAUGACCUGAAAUGCCAAAUAACAAUAGGGUAUUGGAACUGCAGCCUGCAACACAACCAACUAUCGAUUGGAUUACAUGGAACUUACAGCAUCUCGUUCAUAGGUCACCAAUGAUUUUACAGCCAUUCUGUGCUCAACUAUGCAGUUUAAAAGCUCCCUUGUAGCUUGAGCUCUAGCUUCUUCAUCUUUGAAUCGGUUUUCAACAGGAUCUACCAACUAUUGUCAUCAAAAUACAGGGACUUAUGUAAGGUUAUCAAUGGCAAAACACCAAUCCAUGGAAGCAUUGCACAAGUUUAUACAAAUGAAUACAGACUAGAUGAUGACUAAUAGAAUGUAGAAAGACACACCACAAAUAUCAGUUAAAGAAGAACAGCACAACAAAGAUAUCGCUCAAACAGUGGAACCUAUAUCAACGAAGUCAAAAGAAUUUUCUUGCUUAGACAAACUACUCUACCCCAGAAUUCUAGUCUGUCUUGAGGACUAUCUUACAACAUGGGAGUGGAUAGUUUCUUUGCUUAUUUCUUUUAUCAUAAAACUGUGUCUGCUCAAGAGUAUUCGUGUCUAUGGAUUGUAUUUAGGGCCUAUUCAGGUAGAGAAGUAGCUAUUUAUCCCAUAAGACCAACAUUUAAAUAUAAUUACAGUUUGAAUUCUAGACAGUAAUAAUAUUGAGGUUAAGAAUCAAAUUUGACAUUCUUAUAUAUGCAUUUGGAGUAGAUUAACAGCAUAACUCAAAGUAUUUAAAUAUUGUAAUGCUAUAGGCUCGUCUUUCACAUGGCUGGAUGACCAACCAGUAUGUUUUUUCCCUCUUUGAGCUGCUCCACAUUUGUUCGUUCUUCUGCUUUUCUUCUUUUCCCCUUUUCUACAUCCUUCAAAGAUUAAAGUACCUGUCCAAACUUAAAGAGCUCUUAGCUCUUCCUGAUACAUGCUCAUACCAUAUUGUUGAUUCUCCAUCACUUUGUCCCUAAUUCGAGCAACUCCUACAGCUCCUUUUAUUUACACACUUCUCAUUCUUUCAUAGUUUUUACCACCAAUCCAUCUUAACAUUCUUAUUUCCACUACACUCAACUUGUUUGUUUGGAGCCUCUUUUCUUCACAAUGUUCUAAAUCAUAUAUUACACACCUUUUUCCCACUCACUAAAAUUUCAUUUGAAUUUUGAAGGCAUGGCGUUGAUGACAUAAUACUCCAGAAGCUCAACUCCAAUUCAUCCAACUAGCUCUUAUUCUACUACAUCCGUUCAUUCUCAGAUAGUGAAACUAAUUGCUUUGAGGUACCUAUUUUCCAACGACCAUGACUGAAUUCCAUUCCAGUUUAUCUUUGUUCUUGCACCAAUACAUAUCAAAGUGAAAAUUAGAUAGGAAAAGAUGAUAAACACUCCUAUAGGCCAAAACAAAGCAGUAAUAGCAUUGGCUCUACUUUCCCAUUUUAAACCAUGCUCAAUUACACACAACAACAACAAAAAAAAAGUCAAUUCCAAUUGUUCAAAGGUGAAAGGACGGGGAAAAUAUAAUAAGUUUCCCACACUACUACUAGUAUAUAGCUCCCUACAAUCUAAUAGUGUUAAUACAACCAUAAUGAACUUUUAAGAUGUAAACAUAGUUCAUGUCCCCUUAGUUUCGUUCAUGAUCCUUUAGCUUGUUUAUGUUGCUGAUAUGAAAAAGAAGUCGUAUAAUACAAGAAUUUAAGUGUCCCUAGCACUGGACAUUUUGGCUAGAGACCACAUUGUGCUCUGCUAUACCAAACCAAAAAUAUAAAAAGGGCUUGAGAGCCCUUUUAUCUAGGUAUGGAGCAAUAUCAAGAUGUACCAAAUUUGCACCAGUCACUACUGGCUUGAUAAUAAGUGGCUCGCUUGGUAUCCAUAGCUGAUCAAGCACUAGUAUUGGCUUGACAUGUGCUGGAACUUGAAACCAUAUUAUGAUACUAAUUUGUGAGAGAAAUUACUUGAAUCUAAUAAAAGAAUGUAUUAAAAGUAAUCAACUCUACUAUGCCAGAUGAUUAUAAAAAUGUUGAAUUUUAAAGAUUAGCCAAACAAUAUUUGUUCAUUUAACACAACUCUACUCACGAGUAUAAAGUAAUCGCAUUCGAUAUACACUUAAUAUUGUAAAAUAACUAGUGCAUCUAAGUGUACUAGUUGCAAAUCUUUUUAUAGACUUGCAUAUCUUUUUGUAACAAAGGCUACAAAAAGACGAAAAUAGAAAAAUUGAUUGGACAUGAUGAAAUCCCUAAUGAGUUUGGAAGUGUUUAGGUGAUGUGAAAGUAUUUCGGUUGACUAAUUUAUCUAAUAAGAUUUUGAAAACCAAGAAAAAGCUUGAUGAAUGGGAGAAAAACACUAUUACUGAUUUAUAAGAAUAAAGGUGAUAUUUAAAAUUAUUCUAAAUAUCAUGGUAUUAAACUCAUGAGCCUAUGAAACUUUGGGAGAGGGUGAUUAAGCAUAGAUUGAGGUAUGAUACAAAAGUAUUAGAGAAUAAAUUUGGUUUUAUACCAAGAAGCUUUGACUUUGAAAACCAUUUUUCUCUUUCGAAGGUCAAGGAAAAAGUAUUGAGAAAAGAAACAAGAUAUUCAUAUGAUUUUUACUGAUUUAGAGAGAGUCCUUUGAGAAGUCUUAUGAUGGAUUUUAGAAAAGGAGUUUCCGUUAGACAUCAAUGUGGUUAAGGCCAUGAAUGAUGGAGCGAUAACUAAUGUAAGAAUUACUAGCGCUAAUACUAGUAAGUUUCCAAUCACAAUAUAUUUACAUCAAAGAUUUGCUCUAAAUCCUUACUUUUUUGCGCUAGUUAUGGAUGGGCUUAUUAUAAAAAUUCAAGAUGAUAUUCUUUGGUGCAUAUUAUUUACAGAUAAUAUCGUUGUAGUGAAUGAAACUAGGGUCGAGGUUCAACAUAAGUUGGAAUUACAAAGGAGUGCAUUAGAAUCCAAGAGUUUUAGGUUAUGUAAGACCAAACAUUGAAUGUAAUUUUAGCAAAAUUAGAAAUAAAGAUGAAGAUGUAGUAAAAAUUGAUAAUCAUGAAGUUCUUAAAAAUAAUCAUUUUCAGUAUUUGGGAUCAAUUAUUUAUAUGGAUGGAUUGAAGAAGAUGUCAUCCAUAGAGUUAAAAUAAGUUGGAUGAAAUGAAAAAUACAACUAUGAUAUUAUGUGAUUAUAGGAUACUUGUCAAGUUGAAGAAAAAAAUUUAUAGGACAACAUACGACUUAGCUAUACUUUAUGAUAUACAAUGUUGAGCAGUUAAAACCAUGUGCACAAGAUGAGCAUGGCUGAAAUGAGAAUAUUGAAAUAAAUGCGUGGUCAUACAAGAAAAGAUAGAAUAAAAAAUGAAGUCAUUUGUAAAAAAAUGGAGGUAGCACCAAUUAUGGACAACUUCAGAGAACGGCUUAGAUAGUUUGGACAUAUACAAUGUAGGCCGAGGGAUACAUCAAUAUGAAGAAGUGAUUUGGUGCAUGCAAAAGGAAUGAAGAGGUUUAGAGGUAGACCGAAAAUCACAUGAGAUGAAGUGGUAAGAAAGGACUGUUAGAUGUAUGCCCUAGAAGUCAAUCUGGUGGACACAUUAUUAAUUCUGGGACAUAAAUUUGUACUUGACUUUAUUAUUAUUGAAUAAUAAAUGAGCAUCUUUUCAUUUAUAUUGUUUAUGUGUCUAUGAAUCGUCCAAGAAAUUAAUAAGAUGAUGAUACAUAUUCUCAAGAGUUGAGAAUUUGAGCCAUGUAUUAUUGGUGAUUAAUUUCUAAAUGCUUCUGGUCAAUGGAACAUCACGAGGACGGUGAUCAAUCCGAUCAGUGCACAGAUCGCUUUCCUUAUGGAUGGACGAGACUCGAGUCCACAGUGGGGACACUGAAGUGAUAGUGCAGGUGCUUGUUAGAGAACAAGGGUAUUGAGCGUGACCAAGACAAGAAGUCACUUGGAUGACUAUCCACUCGUCAGUGACUUGCUUGAUGUUGCAGUAGUGUGACUGGUCCUUUGACCUGCGGUGCUUCGGCUAUUCACAGUGAGGUUAUUGGAGUUUGACUGCACAUAUACAUGGUCUCUAGUCAUAUGGGGUCUUUAUUGUGUAGAUUGGCUGCAGUAGGUUCACUAUAUGAGUAGGGUAUGCACUUACAUGGAAUCUAUCGACCUUAAUAGAAGAGGAGUGAUGAUUUAUUAGACUGAGUUCUAAGACCUUGGCCAAGACAGUAAUAUAAAGUGGAGAAAGAGUUUUCCACUAUCGAACUCAAGUCGAAUAAAUCUAGACAUAUGACAAACGACGAGGUUUGACGAGUUAUCCAUGACCUCCGGUCUGUAGGGAUCCACGAUAGAAGGACUGUAUCAUACGAUAAUUGCACCUAGAGGUUCAUCAUUCUAUUCUGCUGGGUAGCCACUACAUACUGCUAGGUGUCACUGGUGGAUGGUGAGACUCACAGGGAUCAUCUCGAUAGUCGAUAAUCCCUGGUGAGUUGAGUUGAAAUUGUUUCAACCCAUUGAAAGGAGUUUUCAAUGAUAUUGUGAUAGAGAUCGCAAUAUAUCUCACUACCAGUCAGNNNNNNNNNNNNNNNNNNNNACACACAUUAGAGGUAUUGACCAAUCCGAUGGUUGAAUUGUGAUUAAGAAUCACAUAUGAUCAAUUAGAUUGAUAAAUGGUUAACCCGCUAAGAGUUAGUGGUUAGAAGAAGGAACAAUUGCAAUCGGAUUGCAAUUUAAUUUAAUUAAUGGAUUUAAUUAAUUGGACUUGAUCAUGAGUCCUACUUGGAGUGGAAUUCAUGAAGUCCUAAUUGGAUUAGGAUUUUAAAUUAAAUUAGAGUCCUACUUGGAAUAGGAUUUCUAAAGUCCUAAUUGUCUUAGGGCUGAAAUUUGAACAAGUCCUAAUUAGAUUAGGAUUUUGUCAAGUCCUAAUUAAUUUUAAUUUUAAUCUAAUUAAUUAAAUGACUCCUAAUUUGAUGAGGAUUGAAGAGUUCAAUAGAGUCAUGGUUCGAUUAAAUCCUAAUUAGAUUAGGAUAAGGAGGAAAUUGAAAUGAGUUCAUAUAAAUCCCAUUUUGAAUGGGAUUAGACCCAUGCAUUAGACCCAAACCAUCUUACCAAUUAAUUUGAUUAAAUGGCUAAUUAAAUGCGAUAUGAGGGAGGGGCAUGGGCCCCUCCCCUUGGGAAUUGCGUGGAAGAAAAAGGAGGGGCGUAAGCCCCUCCUUGCUGCCGAACCAAAGUGAUAAGUGUGAGCUCCUAAAAAAUAGGAGCUCAUCCUUAUCACGUUGAGAAUUAAAAGGAGGGGUUUUGGCCCCUCCUCUCAUGCUAUUUCUGGGAGUUCACGGCAGCAAGUCCCCAUCUCCAUUCCUCCUUUCACCGUAAGAGCAAGGGAAGAAAAUAAAGGUGGUUUCAUCUCCUUNNNNNNNNNNNNNNNNNNNNNNNNNNNNNNNNNNNNNNNNUAGCCUUCUCUGCAAGGGAGCUAGCACCCUGGAAAGAUCCAAAGGCUUCGAUCGACUCACUACUUCGUGUGGAUACCUGUAGAGGCCGGACGCGUGUGCGGCUUCCACUGAACUUUCAUCAAAUACCACGUAAAUCAGAUUUGCGGAGACCAUUUACCCGCACAAGAUGAAGAUCUGAUCUUCUUAAUCAUGAUUUUAAAAUGAUUUAAUAAAAAUUUAAUCCUGAUCUAUCUACAAAAGGUUUUAAAAUACGUUCAUGCGAUGAACGGGAUAUGCACAUGUCUUUCCGCUGCAUAUCUGAAAAUUUUUGAAUUUUCAGCGGCAUGUGACAGAUCCUAACAAGGACUUGAAAUCUAACAUGUUUUAUAUAGUAAUCUAAUAUUAUUUAAAUAUUUCCUAAUUACUCAAAUUUUUUCUUGAAAAGUUUUUUCAAGAUUCUAUCCCAACGUUUCUUUAUAAAAAUAAGCCAUCAUAAACUUUAGGCAGAUUUAACAUGUAUUCAUGAUCCUAAUAAACCUUUCACAAAAUAUAAAUAAUUUUUUCUACUGAAUUCUGCUUACUCAACAAGAGGUUUCCAAUAUUUUCAUAUAUAUUUGUUCAAUUAACCUAUUUAUCGCUGAUAUGCUUCUUUUAGUUUCUCUUAAUUCUUUUUUUACAAAAUCAAAACUUUUAACCCUAGCAAACAACCCAUCUGUGACUUUAUUGGGAAUAAAGUAAGAAAGGGCCAUGAAUGAUCUAAAAUAACGAAACAAUGCUUUAAUAGAAAUUUAGACGUUUGGAGCACAAUUAUAAGGGUGACACAUGAGAAUAUGCCACAAAUCUCAAAUAAUAGAAAUUUUCACGCAUCACUGGAACCAAAAACCUUGGUGUGUUUGGAAAAUUACUGACGAACAAACCAUAAUGAUAUAAACUGCAAAUGUGAUAACACAAAAUUAGUGUCUCACAUGGUACAUGAGGUGAGCCCUAGCAAAGCAAGAGAAAGUCAUAAAUAAAGCAUAUGCAGUAUAUGACCCUAUAAAAUGAGCAGAAAUGAGAUUAGAAUACAUAACCAAGUCACCAGAUCUAAACAAAAUAAAACUAUGAGCACUAGAACCUGACUAAAUAUAAAAUGCAACAAUCUUCAAAGACAAAAUUGUAGCAUAAAAGGAAGAGAACCAUUCAUGAAAGACAAGAAAGGGGCGUGCAAAUGCCUAAACUGAUAUUUACUAAACUGACAUGACAUCCCAGUAGUAUGAACCAAACAAAGGUAUAAUAAACACAGGAAAAACAUGGUGAAAAUGACUUGUAGACUGGUUAAUAGUGAUAGGAUAGGGUAUAAUGGAAUCAUAUCAAGAGAAAGGCAAAAAAAACCUGUUAACAAAUUGGCCACGUAUAAAUGAAUCAGAAGCCAUAUGGUGGCUCGUCUCACAGUCAUUAUCUUAAGCUAUCAAAUCCAUCUGUAGCUAGCCUUGAAGGUUUUGAAGAAUUAUAAGCAAACCUUCGGUCCAGUAGAAACCAAACGUGAUUUUUCUCUUCCAAAGGGAAAAAAGAACAAAAAAAAAGGAACAAUAAGCAGAUGAAUUUAGACUAAAGUUGAACAAGACUCAUAACAUAGGGAAGAUGAAAGGAAGAAUUUAAAGGAGACAAAAGAGGGGUUUGGAAUGUAUUAGCUAGCCAAACACAUUCACGAUGACAAAAAAUAUCCUUUCAUUAAUGCUGGCUCCUAAGUGCUCAAAAUGAAUCAAUAAACCUUGUUUGCAUGUAAAUAACAGUUCUGACCAUUAACAUUAUGGUGCACCAAAUAAUGCAAUAAAAAAAUGACCUGAAUAUGACAUACAACAAGUGCAUGUAUUAUGGAACAACAAUACAUCAUAAUAUCAUACGGUGGUCAAACCUGGAGCCUUCUAGAGGAUGGAUAUAAUCCAAGGACAAUAUUAGACAUUGAAAAUAUACUUCAUUAAAACUAGUGGUAGGAUGGGGACAUCGUAUAAUUGACAACAGUUUGCUCAAUGAGCUAAGCACCAGUGGGUUUGAGAUUGGUAUGAGUGGAGCUCUAAAAGGUCAUCUAGGGGUAUUAUCGGAACAAGGAGUCCCAAAGUGUGGGCUUGCUUCUCCCACAGCUUCUAGAAAAGCAUCCUUAUGAAAUCCUAGGGANNNNNNNNNNCCAAGAAUUUGAAGGGGAAAAAGAAGUUAUGAAACAAGAAUAAGAGGAUGACAUAGUAGAGGUAAAGAAGCCUGAUCAAAUGCCAUAAUAUGAAGGCAGGUAUUUUUCAACUAUGUACUUGAUAACAUUAUCUCAGAGGAAAGCAGUUGUUUCAUGUCUAGGACACAAGGUAAAAGGUGGACAAAUAAAUACUAGAGGUAGUAACAUGUGAUCUUAGGCCAAUUAGUCAUCUUUGCUAAGAGAAUUCAUAGUUAUAGAAUACCUACUACUAGCAACCAUGCUAGACUACACGUAGAGCUUGAUAAGAAAUCUAGGUUCCACAAUAUCUGAUGCCUAACAAUUUCAAAGAUGCAUGGGCAUAGUAAUCUAUUCACUGACUGAUCAGAUGCCAAAGUGUUAAUAACUAAGUAGCAUGGGGAAUAGCAACCUCGAAUAUUAGUCAGCACUCAGCACCACAGAGAAGGGGAAACCAGCAUGAUGGUUCUACCAUUUUCAUCGUUAAAUGAGGCUUCAAAGGUAACAAACCAUGCCACCUAGUCACUUGUACCAACAUACCAAUGUUUAGGAAGAAAAGGUAUUCCUAAAAUAUAUCAUGAUACAAGAAAGCAAUGAGAGGAAAACAAUUCCAAAGCCACUUUCGAAGGAGAAAAAGUCUCAAGGAGCUGCCACUAGAACAGUCAGUGACUAAAGGGAGCAAGAAGAAGCACUCAAAAGAGACUAAAGAUGAGCAACAGAGAGGUAAUAAUUUCCAAAGAAAAUCAAGAGACGGCAUGCAUAAAGGACUUAAUUGGUGAGAACUAGCUGAACUCAAUAUAAAUUAAAAAGGGGAACCAUGAAAAAGCAUAAGAAAAAGUAGCAAAAAUAAUAAUCCAUCACAUCUCUAAUAUUACUCAAAUAUGAGUGCGCAUGGAUUACUGGAGAGCAGAUGAGACUAAGGGAAAAAGGGCCUAGAAAAGAAAAGUUUGCUAAAAUAAAGAAGAGACAUUUAGGAAGCCAAUAAAAGAGUUCAUCGAUUGAUCGAGAAGACCUUAAUGUACAGUGGAUUUUAAGUUAAAAGAUAUUUAAAAGGCAUGUACCACUUAGAAUGCUACCUAGGAUCUCUACAACCAUCUCCAAAAGAACUGGCUUCCCCAUGCACUAUUCACCUACUUGAAGCUUUGGCUGAACUAGGCAAAUAAGUCCAGCAAACAAUCAAAUAACACCAACAAAAACCUAUCAAAACAAAACUAGCGGAAUGCAGAAUUGAAGUUUAAAAUUAAAGUAU
rnacentral:lncRNA from 1 species